AAAGAGCCAGGCAUUCCUGCAAUGAAACAUGGCCCAAGCUUCUUUUCAGGUUCUUCAUCAAGUUUCUUAUAGAAGCCUGGCAAUGACCUGAACACCGUGUUGAAAUCGUUUCGGGGAAGAUCAUUCAAGAAGGCUUGGAGUGAUGGAGGUGGGCGGUUGAGCUUUUGGAAAGUGUUGCGGAUGUUGUCUAUGAUAUCUGAUACCACCAAAAGGGUGUUGGGUCCUGAAGAGCAUCCCAAGUCCGCUACUUUCAAACACUCUGGGAACAGAGUGCAACACAGCUCCUCUAUGCUUGCAUCAACUAUAGGCUUCACCGUUGAAAUCACUGCUCUCUGAAAGUUAUAAAAAUAAAAAUAAAAAGGGUUUAAGAAAGCAUGAAUAUUGCGUAGUUUUGGUUAGCAAAAUAGUUUGAGAACAAGCCAUGCUCUUUAAGUGUGCUUGAUAUAAAAUCAACGCAACUAGGGGAAGAGAGAGAGAGACUAACUUGAAGUAGGGAAUUGUUUGCAUAGCUUGUUUUCCCAACUCCUCCAUUCAUGUGUAGAACUUGCUCUACCUCCAUUUUUAUGUUCUCAAAUAAUACUCCUUCCUGUCUCUCUCACUCUCUUUCUCUUGGUAUCUAUUCUGCUGGAAGACUCCCUCAUAUUUAUAGCAAAAUGCUUACCCAACACAACUAACCUUACUUUUUUACUUGGAAAGUAUGUGGUUAUCAAAAUUCCAAUUCACAACUAAUACCUCUUAAUUACUAACUUGCACCAACAACUUUUAACGUUUUGAGGUGCAUGAUCUAACACAGCUUACGUGAGAUUAAGUACGUCAUAAGCUAGAAAUAUGAUUUAAUUGACCAAGUGUACAAACAACCUAAUCAACUUUUGAGGCGACAAAGUAAGUAGUGCGGCUUAUUACGUAGGGCCCCACAAGUCACCAACGUUAAUUAUAUUUCAGACUAUGGUCUUAAGUAUUAGAUUCCUAUGUAACUAACACAUCUUUGGCAGCAUUAGGUGUCUAACAGUGUACACUACUUUUCCUGAAUUAAAAGUUUGAUGGAAGUGCUGGUCUCUCCUUUCCUAUUAAGGGCGAAGAGAUUUCAACAUUGUAUAACGGGACUAUGAAAAUAAUUGUACAAUACGUGUCCAUCGUGUAAAACUCGUGGACGGUGGAGAGCGAGGGCCAUCUUUUGGAGCUUAAUGACGUGGUUCAUCCAUGACCAAUGAAUCAUGCAGCAGAGCCGAAAGGGCCAAUAAUGUGAGAUCGAAUGGUCUUGUUCAAAAAGAAUUUCCUUUCCAUGGGGAAUUCUCAAUUUCUCAUGCCCAGUGUUAAGAAACUAAAAUGAGGCCUAUUCUUUUUUGUCUUAUUUUAAAAUGAGGCCUAUUCUCAAUUUGUCAAAUGUAUUAUUAUUAUUAUUAUUAUUUGUAAAGGACCCACUAAGGUAGUUGUUUGGAGUAUUUACUCCCUCAUGCAAGGUCCUGGUCGAUCUUUUCCUAGUAUUGACUAAUCAAGGCGCAAUUCUGAAGAUUAUUAAUAUAACGAUAUGCAAAUUAUCAAAAUCAGUCUUGAAAAGGAGGCAUGAAAUAUAUAUAUCUCGGAAUUCAUCGUUUCUGAUUCUUACCUUUGCACACUCUGACAACUAUAUAUAUUUUUAUUUUAAAACACUUGGAGAGCCUAAUAUUGGAGAAAAAAAGUCACCAGUUGGUUCUUACUGUGUUACAAAUUUCCCAUUUAGAAGUACAUCAAGAUGUUUUUCUAAAGUAUUGGACUUGAAGGGUAUUUCGUUGAAGUGUAAAGUUUAUUAGAGUAUAAGAUUCCUCAAAUUGUGACAAGUUUCAUAAUCUGAGAGAGUUAGUUAAGUCAUUAUGUUAAAGAUUAGUUAGCUAACUAACUCUGUAAUAACUCUGAUAAGUGUCAUACACAAGAUUUUGGUUAAUUUGUUUUUCUAAAUUUUGGGGGCUUACCCAAAUUAUCUAGGAAGGUCACCAUCAUAUAUUAGGGUGUUCAAGUUGUGGAACCCUAGCAAAUCAAAACCAUCAACAAAUAAGUAAGCUUUCAAAUCAACCUUAUAAUAAGUGGUGCAAAGUUGAGAAGAACAUAUUCUUCUCGAUGGGCAAUUUCUCAUUCCUUUUACAUAUAUGCUGCAAGGCAAUUUCUUUUUCCUUCGUUUCCUUAUCGCAUUUUAAGACAAACUUUGGUUCACGUGGCCAUGAAAUUUUUUCUAUGUUCCGGGUCAACUUAUUUCCACGUCCCAUAGCUAGUUGGUGGUGCAAAGUUGAGAAGAACAUAUCAUAAUGUGAAAGCAUGUGUGGCCGUAAGACGUAACAUGUGAAUAAACUAUAUUCUUAUAUCAUGAUUGAAUUAAUUAGAAAAUCCAACAAACACGAUCUAGUAACCAAUGAUUCGACUUAAAAAACUGAAUGGAAAUAAGGUGUGUAUUACGUAUAUCAUAAACUAAAAAAAUAUGAUAUAAUUAUCCAAGUGCACAAACAACCUAAGUUUGACGGAUUAAGAUUUCUCUAACUAAAGCAUCUUUGGCAUCAUUAGUUGUCGUGUACAUUAAUUAAGCUUAACAUGGACAUUAGAUAUUGAUGCUCCUGGUCGAUCUUUUUCAAGUAUUGUUGACUAAUCAAGGCGCAAUUUUGAAGAUUAUUAAUAUAACGAUAUGCAAAUUAUCAAAAUCGGCCUUGAAAAGGAGGCAUGAAGUAUUGUUGAUUAAUAAUUGGUGAAUGAUUAUAGCUUAGAACUAGUUCGCGACUCUCGCCUAAAUAAAUUUAGAGUGAUGCUAUUACAACCCCAUUUUCCUAUUUUAAGAAGCCGUUGAUGCAUCUAGGCAAAGAGCAGAAGUCUAUCUAGGCAAAGAGCAGAAGUCUUACUCUACACUCCUUAUGCAAGCCUAUGUAGGGUAAGGUUUUUGUGCUUGUAAUGUGUGCAAAAGUCUUGCUCAUCCAUAUGUAUAGGUGACAGUAUUUGGGUCCAUAUGACCCUUUUGAUCCAAUAUGGUAGGGUUUUUUGUGCUUGUAAUGUGUGCAAAAGUCUUACUCUACACUUCUUAUGCAAGCCUAUUUAGGGUAGGGUUUUUUGCGCUUGUAAUGUGUGUAUAAGAGAGGAGAGCUAAGCUUUAUAUGCAUAGGUGACAGUAUUAGGGUCAGGGACGGACCCUCGUUGUGUACAAACUGGGCUAUAUCCCAGUCAAGUAUUUUUCUUUUGUUAUUGUUAGUAUAAAACACAUAGACUAAAUAAGUUGCAAUAUGUGUUGUGAGUUGUCAACUAAUGUUAAUUUUAAGCAUAUAUAAUCAAUUGUUGCUGACAUUGUUGGUGUAAAAUUGGACUUUUAAAUAAAUAAAAUAAAAAUGAUAUGUCCUUAAAUUAAAUUUGUAUAAUAUUAUGAUUAAUUUCAUAAGUCUUCCUAUAAAGUUUUGCCGGAUCUAAAAUUUAGCCCACCCUAUUUCGAAAUCCUAAGUCCGUCCCUGAUUAGGGUCCAUAUGACUCUUUUGACCCAAUAUGGUUUCCACUUGCAUUUUAGGCUUUUUUUUGCUUAUUGUUUCCACCUUGGGCAAACCGAAUAAAGUAAAGUCUGAAAGCGCCAAGGUGGAUGAGGAGGAGAGCUUCAACUUUAAAUCCAACAACUUCAACUUCUAAAACAGAACAAAAAGAGAUCAUCGCACUGCAUCAAUUACUGUUUUCCCUAAUAUAAGCUUGAGUGCUUCUUCACCAUGCUCAUCAAUUCGUAUCUACCAAAACAACAAAGGAGGGCUUGAGAAACACUCAAAAAAUCUUAUUUUCCCGAGCAAAUUUUGAUUUGAUUUGUGACUUUUUGUUUCUCCCUAUUUCUAACCAAUAAUUUGCGUUCGUGAAUAUGAAAAUAUUUUGCACUUUUAAAAAUCCCGUAUUUGUUUUCUCAUACCUUCAAUAUUACGGUAAGGGAAUAAAACUAUCUCAAGUUUAAGGAUAAACACACUUAGUCACUUAAGCGACAAAUCUUUUAUUUACAAAUAAUAUUUUAAAAAACCUUGUUGGCCUUUUUUUUUUUUUUUUUUCCAAGUGUAGGUGUUUUGUUGAUGUCUAGUUGUUGUGUCUAGUUGUUGAUGGCUAGUGUGGAUGCAGAUUUCGUCCAAAAAAAAUAGUGUGGAUGCAGAUAGAACAGUCUGUUUUAAAGUCUCAAUAUCACAAUCACACCUUUAACAAUAGAGGAACUUUUUUCUUUGGUCAAUUAAAUAAUAGAGAAACUUUAAGUCCCACUCAACAGAGGAUCACAAAUGUACGGACGUGACCCCACGAAGGAUGUUCAUAAACGCGAAAAUAUAUUAUGGGGCGUGAGAAACAAAAUCCAGUUAGUUGAAAAAAUUGUGGAAGAUGUUGCGCCAGGUGUUGCGCGUUGAUGUGACACCUCUUUUUUUAUUUAUUUAUGUAUUUAUUUCAACAUCAACCCAAAUUGAUGAUCCAAAUUAAAUUCAAGCUAUUUUAAUAAUAAAAAAAAUAUUAAACAAUUGAUAUUUAAAUUUAACGGUUAAAAUAAUAUUUUAAAUUAAUUUAAAUCAUAUCCAAAUUCACUCUAAACUCUAUAAAUACUCACUUAUUUCUCAAAUAAAAUUAUAUUUAUGGAAUUUUAAUUUUUUUUAGUCAAAUUGUUUAAAAAAAUUAAAUUAUGAAGUUAUUUAAAAAGAUUAAAUGAAGAAAAAUUAUCCAUGGAAAAAAAAAUAUUAGACUUAAACUAUUCUUAAACAAUUUAAUAAAGUUGCGGACUAAAAAUUUGAUUAUGAAGGGUUGAGGGAAAAAACGGUUUUGAUAUGGGCAAAACCCAAAUAGUUACUUUUUGAAAUGGGAAAAUUUGGGUUUAGUACCAAAUGAGUUGGAGAAUGCCUAAGAGAAUUAAUUAAGAUGGUUUUCACACCAACUGCUUGAAGCUUCAAGGAGGUUUCUUCUUAAUGUUCACCAUGUGACAAGUAUUCUGUUGACUAGAGCUCCAUUAUACCGUCUCCUAAGACCACUGUUCGUAACUCAAUACUUUUUUCAUUAGACUAGAUUCCAUUAGCAAAAAAUUUAUUAUAUUCUACAUUAAUGUUGUUUAAAAAAGUGGUACAAAUCACCUUUUUACCCAAACUAGUGUGUCUUUUUUGUUGUUGUUGUCUCAGUUAAAUAUACUUGAAUACUUUUCGAUUUGAGUGGAUUGUAUUUUCUAGCGAUAAUCUUCCCGUGAUGACCAGGGACGGAUCCAGGAUUUCAAAAUGACGUGGGCUAAAUUUACCUUACAUACAAACCUAUUGAAAAAACUCAACGGUACAAGUAAAUUUCAUUGAUAACAAAAAAAUACACGAGAGACAUAAUGAGUCUUACCCUUCAAAUAACACUUAUAUAAGUUGCGCUAUUCAAGUCUUCACAACAUUAAAAUCACAAUUAUUGAUUCAUUAUUUAUAUUAUCAGCAAAUUCUCUUUCAAUAUGAAGUAGGAUACAAUUAGCAAGAAACUCAUCACCUAUCUUAUUCCAAAGUCGAUUUUUAAUAAGUCUCAUACAUGAAAAUGCUCAUUCUGUUGUUGUUGUAGACACAAGAAGAGUUAGAACCAAAUGAAUCAAUCUAUCAAUCAAGUAGUAUGUUUCUGCUAAUUUUGUUCUUUUUAUUUAUUUGUUCAACCUAGUCCUAAUAGGAUUAGUUAAUAAUAUUUUAUUUAGGUGGUUAGCCAAGUCUUAAUGGGAUUAAUUAAUAAUAUUUUAUUUAGAUGACUUAGGCUAGAAUAUUAAUUUAGUCUAUAAAAAAAACAAGCUGCCUGGACUUUAGCCCAAGUUAGCAUGUUAGUAGGUACGUGCCUGGUGAUGACUUAAGAAAAUGAACUAUUCGGAUAAUGGGAAGUAUUACGGAGUGGAUACAAAAAAGUAAUUUUUGUAUUAGCUUAUUAACUAGUUAGCACUAAAAAGCUAUUGAUUGUAGUAAACAUAUUUCCGACAUGUAGUCUAGAUAACAGCCAUAAAUGUGGUUUAAUGUUAGUUACUAGCUAGCUACUUACUAUUAUCUAUCUAGCUAAUAUCUAAUCAUCUAUAUUACACAUUACAUCUAAAACCAUGUCAUUGAGUUUCAAUCCGACCAAUUCCAUAAUGUAGAGGGGAUCAUGGCUCUGUAUGCUUGUUUUCCUAGGUGCUUACCAGAAGUGUGUGCCAGAUUAAUUCAUUCACACACAAACACUAGGUGCAACAAGUAUCUGCUUGUUUUUCUUUUGUUUCCCUGUCGCUUUUUCAGACAAACUUUGGUUCACGUGGCGAUGAAAAAGCUUGAGGCUGAGGAUUCAAAGUACAAAAACAACCGAACCUUAAUUCAGUUAGGAUUUUUCUAUCAUCUGGGUGGCUAAGAUUGUGCAAUAGUCAUCUGUUUAAUAAGACAAUUUUACUAUUAUUUAUCACCCCUUGGCCCCUCUGCUUUUGUCUUCGAUCUCCCUCAACUUCUUUCAUUAUCUGAUAGCUAUUUAAUAAAAUCUUAAUCUCCUGCCAUCCAGGUUUAGUUCAUUGAAAAAUAGUAUUCAUUUGUAGAUUAGAGUUUUUAAGUUCGAAACCCCAUGACAUCUCCCAUCUCUAAUUAUGUGUGUGAAUGAAGUAUCGCUUGGAUACUAAAAAAUAAUUCCUAAUCUCCUUUUUCAACUCACCAACCCUCUAUUUUAUAUGUAUAUUAAAGAGAAGUAGUUGCAUCUCGGCAAGAGCAAAAGUUUUAAUGUACACUCCUUAUGCAAGCCUAUAUGGAAGAGGAGACCUAAGCCGAUAACGAAACAAUUCUUAGAAAAGAAAAAAACAACAAACCCUUAUUUGGUAUUGAUGUAUAUUGUGGAUGCAGAUGGAGCAGUCUAUUUCUCUGAGGGGUCGUUUGGUACGGCGGACUGUCAUGGACUGGACUAAAUUCUGUGACUAUUUUGGAUUAGCUCGGAUUGGCCUAAGCUGGAUUGAGUACUGACCUACGUUUGUGCUGCGUCGGACUAAGAAGCUGCAUUGUAAAAAUAGUAAAGACCUAUGUUUGGUGUUGUGACAGACUAAAAUAUAAUUAUUUUAAUAAUCAAUUUUAAUUAAAAAUAAAUAAAAUUCUAAUAUUUAAUUUUAAUUAAAGAUUGCUAAAACUAUCUUAUCUCAUCUUUUUUUUUUUCUUUUUUUCUUUCUUCCUAUUUUCUUCUUCCUUCCCAAGUUCCUAGGCCAUCCCCUUUUUUUUAUUUUUUCCUUUCUUCCUCUCUUCUUCUUCCUUCCUUCUUAAUCAACUGUCUAGAUUGAAAGCUGUAACCUUUACUGAGAGACAGAGUGGUCAAGGGUUUUAGGUGAGAAAAAGCGCAGAGAGACAGAGAGACAGAGACAGAGGCUGAAAAUUCAAUACCAACUAUUUAUUCCAUAAGUUCAACUUGAUGUUUUCUAUGUCAUUUCCCGGAAGAAUCCUUUAAUGGGUAUCAAUUAGUUUUUAGAAUUUUUUUCAAACCAAUUCAUGACUUCCUUCUCUCAGUCUCAUACAAGAAAGCCCACAUCUCCGUUAAUAGUGUCCCCUUUUGCAGUUGUCCUGAUCAUGGUGGAUGAUUUCUUGGAUCAAUUGGGUUUGAAAGUGGUUUUUUGAAUUUGGGUUCAAAUGGGUUGUGGUCCCAUUGGGUUUGAAUUGGUAGGGGUUGAUUCGAGUGACUGGGUUUGAAUUGGUGGUGGUUGGUUCGAAGGACUGGGUUUGACGAUGGUCUGUGGUGAUUCUGGUGGUUGGGUUGGGUCUAUGGUGGUUACAAUUCUAGGUGAAGAAGAAGAAGCUGGUUAUUGUCGGACUCGCGUUCUCUGUUUAUUGAAAUCGCUAUUUUGCGAACCGUGUUUGAGGCUCACUAAAUUGGAAGAGCGAGUGAGGCUUUUUGUUUACUGUUGUACUAUACAAUCCCAUUUAAUUUAGUUCCCCUCUUACCAAACAUGAUUUUCAGGGGCCGUUUGGUACACCGGAUUAUUAUAGAUUGGACUAAAUCCUUGGACUGUCUUGGAUUAGCUCGAAUUGGCUUAAGCUGGAUUAAGUACUGACCUACCUUUGGUGCUGUGUCAGACUAAGAAGCUGGAUUGUAAAAAUAGUGAAGACCUAUGUUUGGUGAUGUAUUGGAUUAAAACAAUUAUUUAAAUAUUUAAAAUUCAUUAGGGAUUUUGACCUAAAACUAAGUAAAUGCUACAAAGAAACCAACGAAAAAUGUAUAAUUUAUUAAAUAAAAAAAUUAUAAUUUUUUUAAAAGCUAAAACUAUCUUUAUCUCAUGUCUUUCUUCUUUUUUUCUACUUUUUCUUUUGAGUGCUGCUAAACGAACCCUAAAAUUAACUGAGUAGACCCUACUACCAAACUAUUUAUUGAAUUACUAAUUUAUCAUAAUAUAAAAUGACCAAAAAGGAUCUAUUGAAUUGUGAAACAAAUAAAACUUUAAUAAGUACACCUUACUCACUAUAUUCAACCCUUAUCAGACAUAAAAAAAAGUCUUCAUAUUGCUUGGUGCUCACGAAUAACGCAACUAGGGAAAAGAACAGUCCACGCAUGAGCAAGUAUUAAACUCUAACGGAACCCGGGGUUAGUAAAGAUAGUUUACCUCCCCUGCCCACGAAUAUCGUUCUUGAUGCUAAAAUCUCCCUCUAUAGGUGUCGAGGGCCUUUACGGCUUCUUCAUUCCUAGCCGAGUUCUGAACUGAUGUGUAGCAUCGGGGCCGCGGGAUCAAGCUUCGGGCUAGCUUAGAUACCUGUCCGAUCUAUCAGGGGGUUACUUAAGUGGGCCAACAGGUGGCCUAUAUGAUCGUUACCGCCUCUUAAGGAGCUUGCUAUCGUAACCCUUUCUCCCGGUGUAUGUGAAAAAGAGUGACGAACCCAUUUUUUUUUUCGGAGGCUAUUUCACCAUUGGGACUAAUAAUAGUACCCCCCGCAACGAGUACUAGUUUAGGAUUGGUAUUAUGAAAUUAAAGAUUUUGAUGAAACCCAAAAUCUGAAAAGAGAGCACAGAUUCAUGUAAAAAGAGAAACUUUGUUUAGGAUUGGUAUUAGAGUAUUGUACUAGGGCUAUUUUUGGUAGCUAAAUAGGGUGUACUUAAUUAAUUUUACAUUUUAAUUAAAAUAUUAGGGUUAACUUAGAUUAUAGGGUGUACUUAGUUAAUUUUAGGGUUCGUUUAGCAGCACUCUGUCUUUUGUCUUCCUUUUUCUCCCUUUUUCUUUUUCUUCUUCCUUCCCAGGCCCACUUUCUUUUUUUCUUUUUUCUCUCUUCCUCCCGAUCUCACUCUAUGGUUCUCUCUUUUUUUCUCCAAUAUUGAUACAAUGAUAUCCUUCUCCUUCUCUCUCCUUUUCUAUCUCUCCCUCCCAACCUUUCUCUGCCUCCUCAUCAUUUUCUCUCUCUUAUUCCCCUGUGAAGUCACCGAUUUUCAUCUCCUUUCAAGUCACAAAUCUCCAUCUGAUUUCAUUGAGCCAUGGUUGAUGGUUGAUGAUUUUUCAUAGGGUUCAAUUGGGUUUGACAGUGGUGGUUGAAUUUGGUUUUGGUUCCACUGGAUUUGAAUUGGUGGUGGUUGAUUUGAGUGGGUGGGUUUGAAUUGGUGGCGGUUGAUUCAAGUGGCUGGGCUUGAAUUGGUGGUGGAUGGUUUGAGUGACUGGGUUUGACGACUGUCUGUGGUGAUUCUGGUGGUUCGACUGGGGAUAUGGUGGUGACAAUUCUAGGUGAAGAAGAAGAAGAAGUUGGUUAUCGUUGGACUCGCUUGCUCUGUUUAGCAAGCUCGCUAUUUUGCGAACCAUUUUUCAAGCUCGUUAUAUUGAACCAAUGAGCGAGGCAAAUUUUUUACUGUUAGACUAUUUAAUCUCAUUUAGGUUAGUCCUCCUCUUACCAAACAUGGGUUUUCAAGUGCUAUUUAACCCAAUUCAAUAUAGUGAGGGGUACCAAACAUGCCCUCAAAGUGUUAUUUAACACUGUCCAGGGCAGUCCAGCCUACCAAACAUGCCCGACGUCUCAAUAAUUUCUCGUUCAUGUGUACGGAUCAUAAACGCGAAAAUAUAUUAUGGGGUAUGAGAAACAAAAAUCCAAUUACAUGAAAAUAUCAAUGACCAACAAGCUUAAACCAUAAAAAUUCACUUUCAAUUUCGCAUACAAUAACUAGAUUGGAGUUUUGGGUUCAAGCAUCAAAUUAUGUGGUGGAUUUUUUUUUUUUAAUUUAAAAAAAAAAUCUUGUUAAACUUGAACUGGAGUUUCUAAAUCUUCUUUGUGUGCUUCUAAUCAACAAAAAACAUCUAAUUAACAAUCUUGAACAUGAACUUCUUUUUUCAAGGGUCUUAAUUUGAGUUUGGAUAGCUAGUUAGGGUUUUGGGUUUUCUACGAAUCGAAAACUGAAGCUAAAUUGAUAAUUUUUCGAAGAAACUUCGCUUCCAUUUCCUUUAACGCAUUUCAAAUCAAAGUAUGAAUAACACAAAGAUGACCAAAUGUCAACAACUUUAUUCUUAACAAUAAACUGAAGUCCAAGAGACCUGAAAGGUACAAACGUUACAUAAACAAAGCAUAUGGAACAUAAGCCCCAUUUCUUGAAUAUUCAUCUCAACGCUUCUUUGUCAACGAGAUAACCAGGUUAAUGAACUGGCAGUUUUCCCUUUCCAUGUGAUCAAGAACAUCUGCUUCAAACCUACGAAACAAAUCGUCCAUGGGUGCUUCUCCGAAUUGGCACGCCAGAAUCGGCUCUCCCACAGCCCUUAUGUCAGUGGCAAAUAUUGCAGCCCUUGUCUUCUUAUCAAGGCCACUGUUAGCUUGCUUGACAUAAGAGUCCCAAUCAUUUUUGAAAACUUCAAGGUUUUGCAAAAUAAAUGAUCCUUCAGCCUGGAUCACCUCUUCUAUCUCCUUCGUUGUAGGUGUAUAGAAUGGCAUAUUGAAUGCGUCCAAUUUUUCCUUACCAAUCAAACCCUGAUAAUUCAUCAAAAUAUACAUUUCUAAAUAGCUAAAAAGGAAAUAUAUUGCAGCCCUACUUGCUAGAAUCUAAUAUUUAAUUACCUCUAAAACCAUGUCAUUGAGUUUCAGUCCUACAAAUUCCCAAAUGCAGAGGGGAUCGUCACUCUUUAUGCUGCCCAUGGUUGUGAGGACCAUACUGCCACCAGGGACGAGCUCUUUGGCACGUGACCUCAGAAAGACUGUGAAGUCCCUUUUGAAUUGCUCCAAGUAUUGCUUAAACACAGCUGGAGGGCUUGUCUUUGCUAUAUAUAUGUUCCCCUUGUUAAGUGCCUCUCCUUCUUUGGUCACCAAGCCUUUUGGAAUCUACGUACACACGUUUAUGCUCAUCACUUGUCAGAUUAAAUUAUCAGAAACGAUUUUAGAAUUAUUAUUAUUUUACCAAUUGAAUAAAGCUAAAAAAUUAGACAAACUUGCAAGAUAUAUAUAUAUUUUUAAAUCCCUAGUUGAUUGAGAAAGUCUUCUCAUGGAGAUAUUUUUAUGUUUGAAUGCAGCAUCCUGCCAUGUGGUGUAACUAAUGAGUUAUAUAUAACUGGGUGUAUGAAGAGUUUAUGCCUAAUAACGGACUCAAUGAUUGAUUAAAAAAAAUCCAAACCUCAGAGAUCCAGUGGAGAGCAUAAGAAGAGUGAACAAAGUGGAGAGAAUUGUCGGGGAAGAGCCUGCCAUAGAAAGAGCCAGGCAUUCCUGCAAUGAAACAUGGCCCAAGCUUCUUUUCAGGUUCUUCAUCAAGUUUCUUAUAGAAGCCUGGCAAUGAUCUGAACACCGUGUUGAAAUCGUUUCGGGGAAGAUCAUUCAAGAAGGCUUGGAGUGAUGGAGGUGGGCGGUUGCGCUUUUGGAAAGUGUUGCGGAUGUUGUCUAUGAUAUCUGAUACCACCAAAAGGGUGUUGGGUCCUGAAGAGCAUCCCAAGUCCGCUACUUUCAAACACUCUGGGAACAGAGUGCAACACAGCUCCUCUAUGCUUGCAUCAACUAUAGGCUUCACCGUUGAAAUCACUGCUCUCUGAAAGUUAUAAAAAUAAAAAUAAAAAGGGUUUAAGAAAGCAUGAAUAUUGCAUAGUUUUGGUUAGCAAAAUAGUUUGAGAACAAGCCAUGCUCUUUAAGUGUGCUUGAUAUAAAAUCAACGCAACUAGAGAGAGAGAGAGAGAGAGUAACUUGAAGUAGGGAAUUGUUUGCAUAGCUUGUUUUCCCAACUCCUCCAUUCAUGUGUAGAACUUGCUCUACCUCCAUUUUUAUGUUCUCAAAUAAUACUCCUUCCUCUCUCUCUCACUCUCUUUCUCUUGGUAUCUAUUCUGCUGGAAGACUCCCUCAUAUUUAUAGCAAAAUGCUUACCCAACACAACGAACCUUACUUUUUUAGUUGGAAAGUAAGUGUUAUCUAACAUGAUAUCAAAAUUCCCAUAAGUCGCCAACGUUGAUUAUAUUCUAGGUCUUAAGUGAUAUAUGGUGGUUAAGGUGUUGGAGGAGUAAAAUGGGAGGGGUUCAAUUCCCCUUUGUGUUUUUUCCCCCUCUCUUUUUUCCCUUUUUUUUUCUUCUUCUUUUUCCUUUUUUUUUUUUCUUUUACAUCGAUAUUUUCGAUAUUUUAGUGAUAUUACACCGAUAUUUUCGAUAUUUCAUCGAUAUUAUCGAUAUUUCAGACUAUGAUCUUAAGUAUUAAAUUCCUAUGUAACUAACACAUCUUUGGCAGCAUUAGGUGUCUAACAGUGUACACUACUUUUCCUGAAUUAAAAGUUUGAUGGAAGUGCUGGUCUCUCCUUUCCUAUUAAGUAGCUGCAAAUGGACAAUUAAAUCUUGUCUUCUUCUUUUUUUUUUCAUACAAACGAUAUUAGAGGCGGAGAGAUUUCAAAUUGUAUCACGGGACUAUGAAAAUAAUUAUUUUUCGAUCGGAUGUAUUGUACAAUACAUGUCCAUCGUGUGAAACUCGUGGUCGGUGGAGAGCGAGGGCCAUCUUUUGGAGCUUAAUGACGUGGUUCAUCCAUGACCAAUGAAUCAUGCAGCAGAGCCGAAGGGGACAAUAAUGUGAGAUCGAAUGGUCUUGUUCAAAAAGAAUUUCCUUUCCAUGGGGAAUUCUCAAUUUCUCAUGCCCAGUGUUAAGAAACUAAAAUGAGGCCUAUUCUUUUUUGUCUUAUUUUAAUGUUUCCCUUGAACUUUCAUCAAUUUGGGCAAAACAAAAUGUUAACUUGCCGACAUGACUUGAGCAUAUUUAGUAGUUUGGGACACCUGACGAAGAGAAUAUUGAGUCAGUUGAAAGUUCGAAAGAGAAAUUGAAAUUCGAAGAAAAAAAAACAAGGUGACUAUGCUAUUAGCCUGACGCAGAGGCGGCCCUGGGGUGGUGCAAGUGGUGCCAUCGCACAGGGCCCCCGAUUCUAAAAGGGCCUCCCGAAAAAAAAUUCUUUAUAUUAUAUAUAUAUUAAUAUUAUAGGAAUUGUAUAUAUAGUAUAGCGUGCUAGACAUUUGCACAAGGGCGUGUCUGGUGGAGUUGGUUCCAGCGCUUCUCCAUUUAACGUAGCGCCAGAGUUUGAUUCUUGUUGAAGUCGGUCCAUAUGCUGUUUUUAUAUUAUUUUUGCAUUAUAACUAAAAACUUUACAUAAUAAAUAAAUAAAUGAAAAACCAAAAAUCCUUGAAAUAAAAGGAAACAUCGAAGCUAACCACAGGGAGGAUUAUAUAUAUAUAUAUAUAUAUAUAUAUAUAUCCUCCAAACACUUUCUACUCCGAUCAUUCUUUUAAAAAAAAAUUUAAAAAAAGUUUUCUCAUCUAAGAAAAGUAUUUUUUUCAUUCAAAACAAAACAAAAAAAACUUCAUGGAUUCUUCUUUUCUUUUAAACUCUGAUUUUCUGAUAAGUAAUCAUCAUCAUUCAUCAAUCUCUCUUUGGUUCUUUUUUCAAUCCUUUGAUAAUUUUAGUUAUUCUUUCAAUUUCAGGAAUUUCAACACCAAAAAGAGAAAACCCUAAUUCCUAUAUUCAUAAAGAACACUCAAAAUCAAAUAGUCAAAUUCAAAUUUCAGGAAUUUGUGUGCAACUACUCUUUAAUUUGUGAUUGCCAAUUUUUUUUUCCAAUUAAACACAAAUUGCUUAUUGGAGGCAGCAAAGGACCUUGUAGGGGCACAAUGAGCUUAUUUUUGUACCAAAUAUUUAAUUUUAUCAAAUAGAAACAUUUAAAUUUUUAUGAAUUUGAUUUCUAAUUGUCAUUACAUAUUUAUUCAUGACUUUUAGUUAUAAAAAAAUUGUUUAUGACAUUAAGUUAUGCCAAAUUUUUAUUUAUAGUAUUUCGUAUUAAAUUAUGUGAAGCUCCAAUUUAAGUUCGCACAGGGCCCUCAAAAUCUCAGAGACGGCCUUGGCCUGACGGUGUUGUCUAUAGGAGUUUCCAUUGCUCACCAAAAAACAGCAGCAAAUCAUAAACCCAGAAAUAUUUAUAAUAAAGAAAGAAAGAAAGAAAGUUUAGAAAAGGUAACAACUUUAGGUGGGGAAGAGAGAAGAGAAGGGGAGGGUCAGAUAUUUUCUAGGGUUGGCAAAGAUCCGUGUGUUUUUUAAACUAGUAUAAAAAAAAAUAAUAAGGGUAAACUACAGUAAAUCCUCCAACAUGUAGGGUCAUUUACGAAUUCAUACCUGCUUUUGGGGACAUUUAUGGGUACAUACUCAACGUCAUGGAAAACCUACAUAUUGCCCUCUCUGUUGUGUGCCUACGUGGCGUCUAGCUGGACAAUUUUUUAAGGGCAUUUUCGGCAGAUCAAGUCCCUGGGUUUCGCACCCAAAACAACACGUGGUUUACUUUAAUUCAAAAAAGAAAAACAGAGAACCCCCAAAUCGAGUUCCAUAUCUAAGCCCCCACUCAGACCUAGCCCCCAAAUCAAUAGAAGUGGAUACCCAGGUUCCAAUUGGAAGAAGACAAAGACGACGAUGUCAACGAGGUGGAUGAUGUCUGUAAAUCGAAGAUAGGAAAUGGGCCAGCCCAUUUGUCACUGCGGCAAUUAAUGUUGUCUGACAACGUCGUGGACUGACAACAACCUUGGGAGAAGAUUUUGGGGCUGCACCGAUUAUGGGGUAAAAAGAGGUUGUGCAUUCUUUGAAUGGUAUGAUCCACAGGUAUGCGAAAGGUCCAAGAUUGUGAUAUCUGGACUAUUGAAACGACUGCGUAAGGAAGAAGAGGAAAACCGAAAAUUGAAAAAAGAGGUUGGAGCUGCCUUGAAAGCACAAAGAUUUCUACAAGCAAGUGUUCUGGGUUCUUGGAUUUUUUUGAUUGUGUGGUUGGGAAUGCUAGUACUGGAAUGGAGAGACUCUGGAUCUUCCAAGAAUGUGAAAUUAGCACUUACAUUUUAAGGUCUAUAUCUUAGAAGAGUUAGGUGAUGUUUUUUGUGGUCAUUUAUGGGACAUUUUGGAAAAUCAAAGUGCUUUGUGUAUAAAAUGCCUGUUUCUUGUAAUUUCCCAUGUGAAGUUGUAUGAAAGAUGUUUAUGUAUAAACAAUUGUGAGGCAAUUUGGAAAUGCAUACUGUUUAUGUAUGCACAAUUGUUAGGGAAUUUCCAAUUGAACAAUUGCUUGAAGGCAAAUUCCAUUAUAUUGUGAGUUCAAAAUACAUACAUACUUUUCCAACAUUUGCAGCUCAAAUUUACAAAAUGAACAUGAGCACCUAAUCUGGAAUACAAUAAAACAGCUACCAAAAGUAAACUUAUCAGGCCACAUCACAAAACUAGAAGUUGUACUAGUUCAAAAUAAAUUGGAAUUUGCAUAAACUAAGAACUAAGAACUAAGAGCCUAUGUUCUCUGUCUCUUGGAUGCUCUCAAUCCUAUUCCAGCAAUUUCAGCUACAUUUGGCUAGGAAGCACUUAGUGCAGUCUUCUUUGCAGCAGCAGCAGCCUUUGCCCUUGCAUAUACAAGCUUUCUCCUAACUCUUACAGCUGUUUUUGCUUUAUCCUACAGAUAAAAUACACUUUCAGCUUCAAACAAUAAAACAAUGAAAUUGCUUUUCCAUUUUAAGGAAGAAACAACAUAACAUUUCAUCAAUAGCAUAGCAAUAAAAAUAGGCACUCACAGCAGCAACUGCAGGGCCUUGAUUAGAUAUUUUUCUUGGUCUUCCUUUACCCCUUGAAAGGGGUUUUUCCUUUUGAGGUAGAUUCUGAUGAUGAGUGGUUUUGUUAUGGCCAGUUGAGCCACAAAUACUACACCUCAUUUGCAUUCCUUGUCUUCCAAACCAUUAUUUCACAGUCUUAUCUAUUCUCUCUUCAGCUCCUUUUAUCGUCACCUUUCUAGGUCUUCCAGGUUGUCUAGUGUAGGCUGGUGACUUUAUUGCUGUCUAGUUGGUCUUCUCCCAUAGCUGUGAUCCAUUAAUUGGCAUAAUGAGAUUGUUAUAGAGGGCCAUGUAAUUGUCCUUGAUAUAGUAUGAAUGCAUAUAAUCCUCCACAGCUUUACCUCCUUUGUAAUGUAUGGCAGCAAUUCCAUGAGCACAAAGAAUGCCUGACAAGUCCCACUUUUUGCAAGAACAAGUGUGAUUAUCCAAAUCCACCACAUAUUGGUCACCUUUUCCUGCAUCCACUUGAUAUUUAGGACCACCAGACCACUACACAGUACAAUUACAUGCUUCUAUCUUUUUCUGUUGCACAUGGUCAAAAAUGUUCUUGCAUAUUUUAUUAGGCCAACUGCUCAUCUUGUCCCUCCUCCACUGGAUCCUUCUCAUCAAUAAGCACCUGAUCAUCUCUAGCGUUGGAUAAUUGGCAUGUCCCUUGCUGUCUUGAUACUAUUGUUGAAGCUCUCAUACAAGUUAUUCUGCAGCAUAUCACACUUAAUAUGUGUUUUGAAAUAAGACUUACUCCAUUGUGUUCGUGGCUUCUCAGCAAGCCACUCCCAUGCAUUGCUAUCUAAGGUCUUCAUUACUUCCAUUUGAUACUUAAAACAAGGCGCAUUGGUAGCUCUAGCACAUGUCCAUAAUUGAUCCCUCAAUACUUUACCUUUAUACGUUUUGUUGAAGUUAUCCCAAAGGUGCCUCACACAGAAUCUUGUCUCAGCAUUAGGCACAAUGUCUUCAAAUGCACAAGGCAGUCCUUUUUGCUUGUCAGAUAUAAAGGCCCAUCCAUGAGAAUUAACAAUGUCCACAUCCUUGGCCAACAGAUCAAUGAACCAUGUCCAUGACUCCCUUAUUUCCAUCUCAACCACAGCAUAUGCUAGCACCCAAGUCUCGUUAUUGGGAUCGAUCCCAACUGCUGUAAGCAACUGUCCACCAUAAACCCCUUUUAAAUGGCAUGCAUCUAACCCAAUAAAAGGCCUACAGUUCAUCUUAAACCCUCUCUUUAAUGGUUCUAGACAAAUGUACAAACGCUUGAAAACAGUUUCACCAUCAACAAACUCACACUACAUCUUUGUUGUGGAGUCAGGGUUUUUGUCUUCCAGCUCAUGACAAUAAUCCCAGCGCAUGGCAUAUUGCUCAGCAACUGAUCCUUCAAUCAUUCGAAGCGUGUCUGCCUUUGCCCUGUAAGCUUUCAUCCUAGAUAUACCUACUUUAAACUCAGAAGAUGCUGCAUUCACUAUAGAAUGUGGAGGCAUGGUGGGAUUUGACUGAAUCCUAGGCAGGAACUUCUCUGUCAACCAUUUACUUGAGGCUUGUGUGUUUUCAAAUACUCUGACACAAUUGUGAUUGGGAUUAUAAUAUUUCACCACCAAGCUUCGAUCUGUAGGGUUUUCCCUAGCCAAAUAAAUCUGCCAUGGACACUGCUUUACAAACUGCCUUCAACUUAUACUUUUCAUUCCUGGUGAAAGCGACCUCUUUCCCACUCAACAAGCAAUAUUCACGAACAGCUUCUCUGAAAACCUUGCAGUCACUGAAUAUCAUUCCAGUAUCAAAAACAGGGUUUUGUUUGUCUGUUUCAUGGUUGUAGUGUUUGAAUUUUUUCCCCCUUGCAACUGUUUCAUCAUCUUCAUCUAAAUGAACACUUCUUAACUCAUCCUCCACUGCUUGACCCCCCCUCUUCCAAUCUGGUGUCUUCAAGAUCUGUGCGGUGAAAAUUUGUAGUCCGAGAAGUCUACUCCCUAUUUUGACCAGUCUGUGAAGGUUAGUCUUCAUUUUGACCAGUCUGUGAAGGGUGGUCCCCACUUGGACCAGCUUGUGAAGGGUGGUCCCCACUUGGACCAGCAUGUAAAGGUUGGUCCCCACUUGGACCUUCACCCUCAUUAACAACACCACCUUCAUUAACAGCACCACAUUCACCCUCAUUUAUCUUUUCAUCUUCAAGAGGCUGAAAAGUAUCUUCAACUGGGGCAUGGUCUGCAAUCCAAUGUUGCAAAAAUAUGGUUUUCUCAGCUAUCUCUUUAAUGUUUCCCCCUCCCCCCAAUACUCACUGUCAACAAAAGUAGAUGCAUCUGAUAAGGAUGCAUCACUAUCUUCCCUUCUGUUGCACUUGCCAUUGCCACACCUUUACCCUUUGAAGACUUUAUAGCCCUUGUAGCCCUUGCCCUCUUUGGUGCCUCAGGUUCAGCCACUUUUUUACCCUUUGAAGACCUAGUAGCCCUUACACUCUUUUGUGGCUCAGGUUCAGCCACUUCCUUAUCCUUUGAAGACCUUGCAGCCUUUGCCUUCUUUGCUGCAUCAGCCACUGUUUUACCCUUUGCAUUUUUUGGUGCCUCAUGUUCUGAAAAAUCCCCAACAUCCUCCACUGGUUCUUGCUCCACUAUCUUCACUGUUUUACCCUUUGCAUUCGUUGGUUGCUCAACAUUGCUCCUUGUCUUAUAAGGAACAAGAGGAAUAGAAUCAGCACAUCCUAUAUCCUCAAUCACGACUUACCUCUGUUUUUGUACCCCAGAACCUUCCACCCUUUGCAGCUCGAUCUCUUUGUGUUUGUUUAAAAAGGUAUAAGGGUCAUCAGCCAACUGUGUCAAAAAUAUAUUUAUCUCCCUUACUCCUGGCACACAUUCACACAUUUUCAGAACAUCUUCAUCAGACAUAAGCUUCUCUACAGAAGCAGAGUUGGGAAGCUCAUAGUGAUAUAACACUAUACCAUCAUAGCCUAACUCCUUAACCAUCAUACCAAUUUCAAACAUAGACAUUUGGUCCUUAUCACAAAAAUCAAUGAAAUCCAGAGUCCCAUUUACAUACAGGUUGUCACAUAAAGAACCCCCAUGGUUCAUUCGAAUAGUAAACUUAUCAUCUUCACCUACAAAGCCACAUAACAGUCAAACCUAUCAAUACAAAAUUGUUCAAUAUUUAACUGGUGACUAAACAAGGACAUAAAUAAAUGCAGAGGUUUUGGACCACUAAGUACUGUCUUGAAUCGAAAGCAGUUUGGUUUGAAAGAAAAAAAGUGCUUUUUUUUUUAUGCCUUUCCAACAACACAACGACAUAAAUGGACCAUGGACCACAAAUAUCACUAUCACGCACACUUCAAAGCAACUGAAAGGUUCAGACAAAAUCAAACCGCACGCAUCUUAACCCUUUACGAGGAAACCAAAAAGCAAGAAAAGUUAAAACUGCCUUCAACUUACAGUAAUGAGGAGCACGACAACCACGAGGACGAAUACCCCACAGCAUCUCGAAUUACAGCAACCCAGCCUUCUUUGCGCCUUCGAUCGAUGCAAAAUGGCGAUUAGGUUUCAAUUUGUGCAAUCGGUUUCGAUUUGGGGGGGAAAUCGAUUUCGGUGAUGGAGGUUAUGGACGACGAGCUUCUGGAACAUGGAUUCGGGGGUUUUUUUAUUUAUUUAUUUUUUUAAUUACAUAAUGCCACGUGUUGGUUUGGGCGCGAAACCUAGGGAUGUGAGAUGCCGAAAAUGCCCUUAAUAGAUUUCCUGAAUUACAAAAGGCUAGACGCCACGUAGGCAUAUAACAGAUUUCCUGACUGACUCGCUAACGGAGGGGGCAAUAUGUAGGUUUUCCGUGACGUUGAGUAUAUACCCAUAAAUGUCCUCAAAAUCGGGUAUGAACUCGUAAAUGACCCUAUAGAUUUGGGGGUUUACUGUAGUUUACCCAAAAAAAUAAUAACAAAACAUAUGUAUUUUUCUCUUCUUUUAUUUUUAAUUUUUUUUUAACUUUGAAGAGAAAAGGUACACUAUACAUAAAAAUAAGGGAAAUAGCCCUAAAUGCCACCAUUUUUAUAAUUGUAAUUAAAAAUACCACCCCUUCCCAAUUUUUGUACAACUAUCACCUAUAAAUAUAAAAUUAUUGUCCACUUAUUGCAAUUUUUUCACAAGUCCAGAAAUUUUGUUCUCUCUUAGCUCACACAGCUCUCUCUCUCUCUGGCACAGCUCUCUUUCUCUUUGGUAUCUGUCUAUCACAGCUCUCUGCGUCUCUCUUGGCUCUCUAUCUCUUGGCUCUCUCUCUCUCUCUAGCACAACUCUCUGUCUCUCUCUUUGCUCUCUUUCUCAUAGCGCAGCUCUUUCUCUCUCUAGCUUCGUUAUGUCUGUUUCUCCCCUAUUCGAUCUCUUGCUCUUUGUUUGGAAUCGCGAACUCCUCCCUUUAGCUAUGUCUUCUGAAUAGCUGCUUGCAACCUUGAAGCUCUAGUGGAUUGUCGACCUCGAAAAGGUAGUGUUGAUGGUUAUUUUGUUAAUAUCAGUGGGAUUAUGUGAAAUGGGUUAUAGUUUGAUUGUUGGGUUUGUGUUAAAUUUGUUUUGGCUUUAAUUUCUUUGGGUUAGGUUUUGUUGAAUAUUCAUGCUCAUUCAUCUGGGUUUGUACCAAUUGCAUUUAGAUUGGUCUGGAUAUGUGAAUCUUGAAACUUGGGAUUUUUCAUUUGAUGUAGUAGAUCUGUAUAGUGUGAUUCUGAUGUGUUACUGGUGUAGUGUUGUUGUGUUCCUCUUAUUUUACUGUCGUAUUGCUGUUAUAUUGACAUUAUAUUGUGUCUAUAUUGCAGUUAUAUUGUGGUUAUAUUGCUAUUGUAUUGUAUGGUUAUUGUGGUUAUAUUGGGUUAAUGAAAUGUUGUUUUGUCAUGGUCAGAAAUGGAGACAAUUAUUAUUCUCGUGUGCUACAAUGAAAAAUGGGUCACCUCGAAGAAGAUGUCCAAAUACGAAGGGGGUGACUCAAAAGGCUUAAUAGUUCCACGGACUAUCAAAUUUGCUGAACAGUUGGACCGUGUGCAUCAGAUUGGUAAUACAAAUAGCAGGGAAGACAAGGUUUGCUUAAAAUUCUCAGUUUUAGUGGCCUCGAAUGAGUGGAAGCACAUAAAGAUUGAGGACGAUGAUGAUGUCAAUUUUUUUAUGAAGUACAAUUCCAAGGUAGCACCUUCAAAACUAGCUCCCUUACUCGUGAGUAUAGAAGAUAAAGGACUGACAAAUGAUGUAGUUCAUAGUACUCAUAUCACGACAGAUAGUAGUCGGAUGGGUCAUUCUUCAGUUGCCAUUGUUGAAAGCAAUGAAGUAACUUGGAAUAAUAAAAAUGUCACUGAUGUGGGAGGUGAAUUAGGGACAGAUUUUAUGGAUAUGAUUGAUUUUAGCGAGGUGGAGGAGAUGCAUGGUGGUGAUAAUGGUACUGAAAGAAAUGAAGUGUCAGUGUACUCUGCCCCUCCUAAUUUGGGCUGCUUGAACACAGCUACCCAGUUGCCAAUAAUGCGUUUAGGAGGAGAAUCUGAACCCACUCGUCAACAUUAUUGGAGUCAAAUGGGUGAACAAAACCGGUACAAUGAAGCCGGUGUAAAUGAUGACGGAGCAUAUUUGGACAGCGGGUUUUCACGAAGUGAUUGGAAUCCGAAAAUUACAGUUGGGAAAUUUUCUCUAGUAAGAAAGCAUUGUUGACGGAGUUACGGUUCACGGCAUUAAGAGGCCACUUUGAAUUUAAGGUGCAAUUCUCUUGCACUAAGAGGUUGCUUGUGGUUUGUUGUCAACUUCCAUGCCCAUGGCGGGUCCGAGCAUCUAGAAUUGGAGAAUACAUCUUCAUGAUUGUGAGGUGUACAACUGUUCAUGAAUGUGAUUUGAGGUUCGUAUGUGACAAGCAUCGUCAAGCAACCGUAGCACUUGUAGCCACUUCACUUAAAAGGAAGUUGAAGGAUUCUCAGACAAUAUACACACCAAGUGACAUUAUGAGAGAUGUGAAACACAGUUUUGGUUGCACCAUCCAUUAUUCGAAAGCUUGGAAAGCAAGGGAGUUAGCUCUAUUGUCCAUUAGAGGAUCAGCGGAGGAGGCAUAUUAUAUCCUUCCAGCUUAUUGCUAUGAAUUGGAGCGUAUGAAUCCCGGCACAAAAACACACAUCCAAACUGAUGAGAACAAUCACUUUGUGUAUUUAUUUAUGGCGGUUGGCGCAUGUAUUAGAGGGUUCCGUUCUUCCAUACGCCCAGUGAUAGCCGUGGAUGCCACUCAUUUAAAAUCCAAGUACAAGGGUGUUAUGUUUGUAGCAAAUGCAUUCGAUGGUAAUCGAAAUAUAUAUCCUCUUGCUUUUGGGAUUGGGGAUUUGGAGACGGAUGCAUCAUGGCAUUGGUUUUUCACUAAACUUCAUGAAGCCAUUGGUGAGUGUCUCAAUCUUGUUAUUAUUUCUGAUCGCAAUGUUAGCAUAGAGAAUGUGUGGAACAAAAUUUUUCCAACUGCAGAACAUGGCAUAUGCUUUUAUCAUAUGAAGGGGAACAUGAAACGCACUUGCAAGUUGAAAAAGCGUGAUCACAUACUUAUGCACUUUGAGCAGGCUGCGAAAUCUUAUUCCAUUGCUGAAUUUGAUUGUCAUUUUCGCAACAUCAAGCGAAAGGAACAUGUUGCUCAAUAUCUUGAAGAGGCAGGGUUACAUAAGUGGUCUAGAGCUCACAUGGAUGGACGCCGCUACAAUGUAAUGACAACAAAUAUUGCGGAGUCAAUCAACUCAGUUCUUAGGUUUGCAAGGAUGCUGCCAGUGGUUCAUUUGAUAGGGGAAAUUAUUAAUCUCCUUGUGAAAUGGUUCACCGAACGUCGUGAGUUGGCUUUGAAUUGCACAACAACAUUGUGCCCCAAUUUCGGAGAGAAGAAGUUGAGGAACAGGUUGGAGGAUGCUGCAAGGAUGAAUGUGGUUAAAUUAAAUAAUGCACAGUUUAAUGUUUUGGACGGUGAUAAGGACGGCCUCGUAAAUUUGACGAACAACAGUUGUAGUUGUAGAAAGUUUCAGCUUGAGCAGCUACCUUGCAAGCAUGUAGUUGCAGUUUGCCGCUUCUUGAAAGUAAAUGUAUACUCAAAGGCUUCUCGGUAUUACACUCGGAAAACCUGGAUGGAUGCUUAUUCGGAUACCAUCUACCCGGUACAACCUCACGGAAUGUGGGAUAUUCCUGAAGAUGUUCGAAGUCGAGUUGUGCUGCCUCCCAUGGCAAGGGUCAUGCUAGGCAGACGAAAGAAGAUAAGAAUUCCCUCGCAAGGAGAGGGCACCAUUAGAAGAAAGUGCUCAAGGUGCGGUUCCGCAGGCCGCAAUAAAAGCACCUGUAAAAACAAUAUUCCAUUGCGCAAUGUAUCUUAGACAAUAUGAUUUGUGUUGCUUUGGUAGGUCAUGUAAACUCUACUUUUAUUCGUGGUGGGUUUCGUGUUAUGUUCAAUGGGAAUUCUUUUAAAUUUGCAUAAUUUCGGUUGCAUUGCUACAGCAUGUUGUAUUGCUGACAGAUUGCUAUUAUAUUGUACGUUUAUUGCACUGGUAUUGCUUCCAGAUUGCUAUUAUAAUUUGAGUGCGAAAUUAAAGGGACUGGAAUGUAAUUCCAAAUGGAUCCAAAACAUUAAAGUUCUUAAAAUUCCUUUAUUACACAGUUACUGUGAUACUCCGACUAUACCUUCUUUUCUGAUUACAAAUUCGGCCGAUGCAUAGGCCAGAUGUGGGGCAAAUACAAGGUGAAAUGUCCUGUGUGUUUGACUACAUAUACUUGUUGAAGGAGCAUUACGAAUGUCAACCUCAAUAGAUUGCUCAUGUCUUGCCAAGAACACUCUUGAAUUUAUGCAAUGUGCCCAAGCCAGUCCCAAAGCUGGACUCACCCGUCUGCCUGAUGUGUGCAGGGACUCCAAGUUUCCCAACCUCACCCCAUUCACUCCAUCAUGUGGCCCAAUAAAAUCCAUCACUUGGUUGGUGACAACCACGCCAACCCAAACUUAUUUGCUAAACCCUUCAAUGUCCCAGAUAUGUUGAAGAACAUUUCAGACCACCGUUUCAAAUCUGCUGGUGUUGUCUGAUACUGUGAUCGGAACAAUGCAGCAAUGGAAUCAAUGACAAUGAGUUUCACAGGUAGGCGGGUGUGAUCAAUGGCAAUAAAUGCUUCUAUGUCUCCAAGGACAUGGAUGAGUUGUUGAGCAUCAUGAACACCAUGAACAUAUAUGUCUUCCAAUGGCUCCAACCUUAUUAAGUUGGGGUAUGAUGCAUGAUAAAGGUUGCCUAGUUGUUGCAAUCGACGAAAUGGGAAGCUGAAUUCUGUGAAUAUGUAGACGGAGGAGCCCCUUAGUCCGCCAUGUAAGGGUGGGAGCUGAGCUCGUACCGUAAGUUGGAGACAAAGCUGCGUCUUCCCGGAACCACUCUCCCCUACUAAUUCUGUUAUGGAGUUGCAGGGUAUCCCACCCCCCAAGGAGUGAUCUAGUAUUGGGCAUCCAAUGGAUAAUUUAGGGGUUGAAAGAGGAAGGAGCAUGAGGUUUUGGGGUGUCAUGUUUGUGUAAUUUAGGGGCCGAUGUGAUGGUGCUACAAGGCAUGCAUUAUAUAUAUAUAGAGUUCAUUUUGAAGGUCUGUACUGUAGGCCAUACGUCUUUUAAGGGAUGUAUAAUUCAUCCUUUUUUCAAGUUGUAAUUACUUUUUUGUUUAUUUAUUACUAUUUUUUUGGACCAAUUAAUUUAAAAAACAUUCUGAUGCAGUACGUACUGUAAUAGGAUCAUAUUGUAACUCUAUCAUCACUCUAUUGUACUCUUAUUGACAUAAUAUUGCCAUUAUACGCAUGUUUAUUGUAUAGUUAUUGCUGCUAUAUCGCCACUAAACUGGACACCGAUAAACUGUAUACACACAAAUACAAAAAGAGGCUUCAUCAUUCCAUAAAAUCCUAAUUCCAAACUUACAUAAUACAACAACAGGCCACCCCAUCAUUACAUAAUACAAAAAUAGGCCGCCUCAUAGUUUCAUUUCCCUGGUGUUGACAAAUUCGAAGUUGCAUAGUCUUCAAGUGCGGUGACCGCGACCCAUGAAAUUCAUGACCCCGGCCACAGUGAUGUUGGCCCAGGAUCCUGCCGGAUCCACUAUUUUUGCAAACUUACGAAAAUUUUCAAAUCCGCUUUCCACUUCUUCUUUCUUCAACUUGGCCAUUGCUUCUGAUUCCUUGAAUACCAUAAUUGCAGUGGCAGGGGCAAUUUCAAUUUUUGCUUUCAUUGCCUUUAUAUGUAGGAGAUGCAUGCGAACAUGAUAACGAGAGCGAAUUGUGCGGUUUUUUAUGACACCCCAUCUACCUUGGCCCUCCACAAUUUUUGAAACUAUGUCUGCAUGAAGAUUUUUCCAAAACAUCGUAUUGCCUCGACAUUGCUGCAUGCCAUGGACCAAAUCUGCAGGGAGUGAAUUAGGUGAUUUGGCUUGUGUUUCAGUCUCCCCUCCUUCAGUAAUUGAAAGCAUUGGGUUUGGUGUGAGGUUAUGGUCCAUGGUCUUCGAUAUUUAUUGUAGCCUGGUGUACAACUUAAUUGGAAAAAAGGGGGACUAAAUGCGAUGUGAGUGAAAUCAGUGGGGAAGGUAAUGGCUGCAAGCAGGAGUUAAUGUGAUGGAAGUUUUCAUUUCAAACAGCUGGGUUGAUUAAUAUAGGCAGGUUUUAAUGACCUGGAGUAACUCAGAGAGUUAUUGGCGGGAGGAUUAGGGGGAGUAAUUGGCGGGAGGGAUUGGCGGGAGUCUUAGGCGGGAUAGUAUUGGGCGGGAGUUAUUAGCCAGUUCACUGUAUGCCUUUUUGUAAUAUAGUUGUAUGUUGGACGUUCCGAACUUGGUCAUUUUCCCAUUAUUUAAUUCAAAUAAGGGAUUUGCCUAUUUGCCUAAUUGACCAACUCAUUCAAAUUGACCAAUAUGGUUAUUGUCUUAUUUCUCAUUUCAGCAAUCUCAAUUCGUUUCCAUUUUUCCAUUAUUCAUAUUUUCCUAUUUUCCAUGUGUCAUCCAAUUUUCCAAUUUUCCAAUUUCUCAUUAUUUUUGCCUAUUUUUGCCUAUUCCCUAUUUUCCUAUUGUGCAAUUUCCCAAGUUUCCUUUUGUUAUAUUUCCAGUUUUCCAAUUUUUCAAUGUUCCCAUUUUCCCAUUAUGUAAUUAAAAAAAAUUGCCUACUUUGCCUAAUUCAGAAAGUAAAUAAAAUUGUCCAAUAUGGUAAUUGUCUUAUUUCCCAUUUCCACAAUUUCAAUUCGGUUCCAAUUUUCAUAUUUUCCAUGUGUCCCUGUUUCCUAUUUCCAUUUUUCAAAUUCAGUUUUUGUCCAAUUAUCCAAUUUUCUUUUUUCCAAUUGGACUAUUUUCUAAGUUUCUUUCUUUUUCCUUUUUCCAAUUUUUCAAUUUUUCAAUUUGCUAACUUUCCUUUUGUUCUAUUUCCAAUUUUGCUAUUUUCCAAGUUGCCUUAUUUCCUAGUUUGCAAUUAUCCAGUUAUCCAAUAUUCCAAAUUUUCAAUUAUCCAAUUUGCGAAUUUGCCUAUUUUUCAAGUGUCCUUUUUUCCUAUUUCCUAUUUAGAAUUUUCCAAUUUUCUUCUUUUCAGAGUUUCCAUUUCUUCCUUUUUCCUAUUUUCCAAGUUUCCUUUUGUCCAUUUUCCAAUUUUCCAAUUUUUCAAGUUGCUUUAUUUUCCAAUUACCCAAAUUUACAAUUUUCCAAGUGUCCUUUUUUCCUUUUUCCUAUUUUCCUAUUUUCCAAUUUUCCAAUUUUCCAAUUUUCUCCAAUUUUCCAACUGUCAUUUUAUCCUAUUUCCUAGUUUCCUCUUUCCAAUUUUUCCUUUUUUCCUAUGUCCAAUUUUCCAAUUUUCCAAUUUUCCAAAUUUCCAAGUUUCCAUUUUUUCGUAUUUCCGAUUUUCCAAUUUUCCUUUUGUUCUAUUUCCAAUUUUCCAAGUUUCCUUGUUUCCCAUUUUCCAAGUUUUCACUUUUCCAAUUGUCCAAUUUUUCAAUUUUCCAAUUUCGGUAAUUUCCAAUUUUCUUUUCUGAAAUUCGCAAUAAAUGCUUACUGACAUAGUCCUAUUUUGGGUUGAAAUCCACAAUUUACAAUGUCCCAUUAAGGUUUGCUUUUUUGUCGUUUGGAAGCCAUUUUUUGUUGUUGUUAAUGUAAUGUUGUACUGCUGUCAAUUGCAGCCAAGGAGUUAAUGGUGUAGUUUGCAAUCCCAUCAAUUGAAUGCACCAACUAAACACGCAAUAUACUUCAUAGUAGUUCGUACAUAUAACUGAACCUUCCUAUAUAGAACUGCAACAGAGGCACCUUCUUAACGGGAAAGGUAAUUAGUCUUAGUGCAGCACAAACAUUCUCCACUAAAGCAAACCAUGUUGUCGUUUACAACUGGAGACUGAAUGUAGCUUUAUUUGUUUUGUUGCAGGCAACAGCUGUGAAUUGUCCCCAGUAAUACUUAAAGAUGUCGGAUGUACGCCCUCCAAAUGAGCAUGUCAGUUACCCGGGGGACCAGCUGUGGCAUGUGCCAUUCCCAUCUCCACCUCGGACUCCCAAUCAUGAUCCCACUUCAUCUGGAAGUGAGGCUGAGAUCAAUGAUCCGCUUGACCAAAUCUCUGCCGUCAAGCACCACCUCCAAUAUAUGUCAAAGGCAACGGAUUGGUGGGAGAGUAAGUGCGAUAUUCAUGGCCAAGUUAUGGGAAACUUGACGAACAAGUUGAACAAAGCAUACACAGGAGAGGUGAAGCAAACUCUAAAAGCAAAAAGUCGGAGCAAAGAGUUAGAGUCGUUGAAGUUGAAAUUGGAAGAGAGAAAGAAAAAUGUCGUCGAAAAAUUCACACAAUCUGAAGAAUAUAACCAUGAAAUGGUUGAAUGUUUCAACAACGGCUUCGAAAUGUUCCAAGAUUAUGCUUCGGUCAUCUCACCAGAAUACAAUUGGAGUGAAAUUGAUGUAGCUGGUGUCUGGCAGGUGCUGAAUAUGGGUGCUGAGGGAAUGGCUCAUCAUAGCCUCGUGCAUGCAGCGAGGAGAAAGGACAAAGACAUGGAUCUUUUGAUGGACCUGUAGUAACGGUGAGUGCUGCUUCAGUUCAUCUCACCUGAGUACAUGGAUCUUUUGUUGCCUUCAUUUUCCCUUCGCGGGAUAGUAUUGUUAAGGUUCGGUGGCGAUUUCUUUUGCAUGGGUGAAAUGUUGUCUGUAAUGUGUAUGUAUUGUAUGUAGAUUGACUUAAUAUUGUAGUUCUAUUGCAUGUAUAUUGCCUUCAUAUUGCCUGUAUAUUGUAUAUAUAGUGUAUGCAUAUUGCCACCCUAUUGUAUCUAUAGUGGAAUACUAUUGCUAUCGUAUUGCCCUUAUAUUGCUCUAAUAUUGCCUCUAUAGUGCACUUAUAUUGACCUAAUAUUGUUGUUAUAUCGUAUGUCAAUGGCAUGUGGUCUAAUAAGUCUCCACUUCGUUGAAAGUAAUCCUGAAUUCAACUAUGACGGACACGACAAUUGUUAUCCAUCCUUAUAUUACCAUGAAUUGAUGUGGACCUUUCAAAUGAUAGCUGGAGUUGCACAUGGAAUCAUAUUCAAAAGGAAAGUAAUUCUCUCCCUCAAUUAAUUGUCCUUCAAAAGAAGGCAGCUAUCAAAUAUUGGGUACAAAAAUGCAACAGCCACAGUAAAUGAAUUGGCCACAAACCACAUAUUAUGAAACCAGGAUGAUUUUUGGCAUGCUUCAAAAGAGAAGGGCCAAAUACAACAGAAAAUAAAAUCCAUUCAAGCUUGUACAAUGGAAUGCACAAUAACCCUGUUACAUGUCCUUCCAACACCAGUGUUUUACCUACUUUAGAGUCGCAGGAGGAGAGCAUAUUGCCAUUGUGCAAUUCGAGGGGCCAGUCAAUUUGGAAUGGUGGCAUAAACAUGUUUACUCCACGGAUCACUUCUAUGGGACAGAGCUUCCUUCUUCCCUUGUCGUCUGUAGGUUUGAACUUCACAAUUUUUAUGUACAUGUAUCAGAACUUGUGGCUAUUUCUUUAUGGCCUUCUAACACUUGUUCUGCCAUUCCAAAGUGGGUUGGAGAUUUUUUGACCUGAAUGACUGAAAAGACUUCAGAUGAUAGAAACUAGAGAUUUUGAAGAAAAAGGGUUAUCAAGAACAUAAGUCAUGCCCACAAAAUAAACUAAACAUGCUAUAAGCUCCACAGUAAUUUUUACUUCAUCUCCAUAAGCAGAAUAUGAGCGAAUAAAUACCACGGAGAAAUACGAGAAGUGAAAAACAACUCGGCAGUUACUGUGAGAUUGUGUACUUAAAACUUGGAAGAACUAAACCAAUUAAAGCUAAGCCAUCUCAUACGUAUACCUACAUCAAAUAACAGUAUAUGCUCAUCUUGUUUAGAAUAUUGCAAUCAACACUUGGUUGAGACCAACAUGCAAAAACAACUAGGUUAAGUACAGAUGAAGCCAUUGAUGAAGGGCAGUUCCAAAAUUAAGACUUAUGGUAAUUUGUAACUGCCACCGAGUCAGUUCAUAGUGCCAAAUGCAUCUACCGGCCAUGCACAUAUGACCAGCGAAAAGUAAAAAAGCAAAGUAAAAAAGAAAAAACAGGCAUGCUAUCAAUGGGAACCUUAGCAGAAAUCAUCACAUAUGCAUACAAGCAGAUGGGCUCCAUUACAAUGUUCAAGAAUGAUGUAAAUACUAGAUAACAGAGUUCUUAUUCAAACCUCAGGAGGUUUGUUGGUUUCAUUCCUGGACCUUCAAUAUCGUCUUGCCCAAUAGCAUCAGUUGACUUAGUCAAAGUUCCAGACAAACACUCAACCAUUUCUUUUAGACCCUGCAAGAAAGUGGCAUGACUUAAAUUUAAUUUUUGGAUGGUGCGAUGAAUUCAGUUGGUUCUUUUUCUGAUAUGCAACAUAAUGAAACUACACCAAAGAUCAGGCAGAUCUGGGAGCAUCCAUGUAAUUAUAGAUGAUAAAAAAAAGCUAUACCUUUAACACGAAGUCAGCAACUUCUUUCACAAUUUUGUAUUCACCUUUACAUAAAUAAGUAGCAAUCAGGGCCUACAAACAAACACAUUUUAGCUGUGUAAAUUUGAUGUCAAAUGCAAAGACACACACUUCAUCACAAAACCCCAAUUUGCAGACAAAAAUCUGUGAAAUUUGGUCCAGUUAAAAUAGGAAAAGAAUUCCACACUCGGGGUGAAGUAAAACUGAAACUUAGACUUCACCCACUGAUUGAUCUGGAUCACCAAAUGGAAAUGAGUACAUACGAACUGCGAUGAAAAAAUGAGAGAGAGCAUACCUGACCAUAUGCAGCCAUUGCAUCAGUUAGAAGGGAUACAGCCAACCAAACUUGUAUACAUAUCUGAUGAGCAGCCAUAGCUACUGGACUUGACGAGCAGCCAUUGAUGUUCCCAAUGUCAAGGUAGUAAGAACAGCAAGAGUUGUUCCAAGAAGAAAACCACUUGUAUCAUCCCAGAGUUGAAAACAAAAGCAAUUAGGGAAAGAACUUUGAAAAGGAAGACAAGAGAGAAUUAUCUCGAGGUUUAACUAGCAUCACAAAGACAAAAUGAAACAUUAAGACACACACUGUCCAGAUACAUGCACUGCUCAAUCAGAAAACGAAAAAAGUCAAAUAUUAUGAUAGUGUUGAUAGUCAAGCAAAUAAUUGAAGCAGAACACUUGAAAAAAAGGGCUUAUAUUUUCAGAUAUAUGAGAGGGUAAAAGUUUAAAGAAAAAGAAAAGGAACUGAGCAGAUUUUAUGUAUCCACCAAAUUGCAAUGAUCCCACCUUUGGAGGCAAUAGUAUAGCUCUCUUAUUUAAAAACCAGAUCAUUCAAAAGGUGACAGUGUAUCUGAAAACAAAAAUUCCAAAAUAUGUUCAUUUGCGAAGUAAAGCAAAAAAGGAAUAUUAACAGAAACUGUUUUGAAAAUCACAUAAUGAGAUAUAACAGUGGAAAGGGCUGCACCAGUUACACCCAAACCAAAAUAAUACAUAAGGAUGGGUAAUAAAAAUGCAGCUAGGAGAUUACCAAUACCUGCACAAAGCAAAAUACAUCAAUUAACCAGAUAGACCACUCUUUGCACUCUUUGCUAUACUUUCACUCUUUGCAAGAUCUUCAGCAACAAAAGAUGUAGCAACACUGAGGAGAGGGAUAUUAAAUAGCUUUGAUAUAUAAUUGAAGAUGUUCAUUGAAAUACCAGCUGAAGCCAACUCCACAGAACCUAUGGAAAAAUAAAAAAGCCAAAAACAUUGAAUAAAAGCUCCAAAGUUCAAUGCAUUAUACAAAUAUUAGUCGUUCAACUCAUUUAAAGGAGUGAAAACAUACCCAAUCUACCAAUGUAAGCAGUCUCCAUUAGCUGUGCUAAGGGAUCAAUGGCCUGACCCAAAAUUGCAGGUAAAGAAAGCAUCAACAGCUCACGUUUGACAUCUGGAGAAUAUGUUUGACUGAUAGGAAUGUUGCUCAACGAUAGACAGGUACUGAAGAAUCAUUUACCCAAAACAAGCAUAAAACAAUGUUUAAGAUAGGUAUCAAAUCUUGUAACCCCCAUCACCUAAAACUAAUUAAGAGUAAUCAUAAGAAUUUCUGCCACUCACUGAAAUAGACAGGACCAAGAAUCUGUUAGCAAUGUUUCUCAUAUCAGCUUCACAAUGUUUAAGAUAGGUAUCAAAUCUUGUAACCCCCAUCAGCUUGCUUGCCCUUGUAAGAUCAAGAAGGACAAAGGAAGGAAGGGACUGGCUUUCAUCAACAGUAGAAAAACUCAUCCACAGCUAUCAUGCUCAUAUUACCAUUCACUCUAACAAACCAGAGUUUUCACAAAAUGAUAAAUUUCUAACAAAUUUGAAAAAAUAUGAAUCUCUGUGCAAGGAAAAUGGGCAGUUCAGCGUAGGCAGAUCAGUAUUAAGUAGUUUACGAAAACAUAACAGUCCAUUCCAGCACUAAGAUGUCUAUCUUAUGUCCAAUUAUGAAGGGAAGAAAAAUAUAUCACAUAUUAGAAGAAAUCAUAUCAAACUAAUGAAAGUAAGAACAUCAAUUAUUUACAACGAACUAAGUCAAAACUAAAUGGAGAAAUGUUAACAGAGUUGUAUGCUUCAAUAAGUCCAGUAACAGAUUCCCAAAACCACAGACAAAAAAUGUGAACAAUGGCUACAAAAGCAUCCAUAAAGAGCAACUAUAUUCAUAUAUGGAGGUGUACAAAAUAGUUAACCUUCAAAAUCGAAAUAGUGUGUGUGCCAUGUAAGGCAAUUAGCCACUGCUUCUAGACUGUACAAUAUUACACCUCACCAUAAUAUCUAAACCAACUAGCUCUAGCAAAAAGGGAUGAUGACCAUAUGAAGUACCCCCACCAAAGCAUCUACGUCUGCAUGUUCAUAUGAAGGAGUUCCUGACAUAAGUUAUGAGCAAAGUGAAUUCCCAAGUCAUAAGUCCAUAGUGAGGUGAAUUCACGGACAUUAAGACAUUUACCUCAUAAAUAUGCCUCCCCCCUUAAACCCUCAAUUGCAAGCUUCAGUCGGUAAUAUUUGAUCUUCAAAGGGUCAACUUUAUCCACCGAAAUCCCAGCACUAAGAUGCUCGAAGAAUUUGACGGUCAUGAUUCCGCAAGACGUACUGUCAUGCCAAUAAGUUGGGAAAUUAGAACUGCAGUUAUGUAACAUUUGGAUAAACUACACUAAAUUGACAAAGCUUACCCAUCUCGUUGUUGUGGAAGACCUGCAAUGCUGCAAACUGAGAAUGGCGUAAACCUCGACAUCUGCAGCCCCUUUUGCUUAACCUCUUCAACCUCAGAAUCUUCAUAAAAGUGCAUCUCGUACAGCACUAGUACUAGCAUAUCGCUAAUAGGGUGCAGCAGUGUAACCAGCCUCGAAGAUUUGGUAUACGCAACAUAGGAGUCAUACACAGUUGUAGUAUGUCUGACGAAAUCAAUUUCGAUUGCAACCCAGUGGGACCCUCGAAGAUUAUAUGGAAAAUAGACCUUCCGGACUUUUGUCCAAGCUUGGCCAUACCCGUGCUGCCACGUACCGCGCACAUAGUGAUGUAUAUUCUUGAGCUUGUUAGGUGGAAGGUCAACAGUGUUUGAAGCAGCUGCCUUCUUCGCUCCACGUUUCUUCGCAAUCGGUUUCAACGGCUCUAGAAAUUGCUGCAUAAAUUAAAAUGGAGGCAUAUUAGAAAAUCACAACCAAAAGCAAAUGAACCAGUGAAUGUAACAUGGUAACAUGUUUACUUGCAAGCAAUAAUCUGCCGUUGUCCAGUCAGUUCCAAAUACCAACGGAUGCGAGAGUUGCCUUUUCCGGAUAAGAAAGGUUGCCAUGUCCAGGUGCUGAAAGUUGACAUAUAUACUAUGAGCACAAUUUCAUACAACUCUACAAUUAAAAAAGGUGGGAAAACAAUUGAAUUAUUGUAAUAAAGUAGAGCUUCGUGUAUUCUUACCCUUGAGCUAACCCAUUUCGUGUCAUCGAUAAGUUUGUAGAAAAAAUCUGCGCCCACUGAAAAUGAUUCCAGCUGCACCUCCGCACUACAAAAGGCAAACUUGCAACGAUUACUUUUGUACUCAUCUCAUAAUUCCGACAAAAAUACAUAAGUAUAUUAAAGCAAACUCUACAUUUUGUCAUUAGUCUAUGACUACAUACUAGAAUAGGAUGAAGAUUGGAUUUCAAAGGUAAAGAAUCCUAACCUGAUAUCGUUUUUUCAGGCAGUGCAAAACUCUAUUACUGCCUUCACAUCUUCAAUGGGCACGGAUUUUGUUGGAUCAAAACAUGGCGGGGUUGCAAUCGCGGCCAACACACUCAUCGUCUUCUUCUUUCUCAAAGGAUCAGUAAAUGGGCUCAACAAUGUCUGCGCCGGGCGCUUCUGUCUGCACCCUUUACCUUCCACUUCCUUUUUUUCAACACUCGAACUCCCUUCUUCAUCACCAGCCAUACUAACUGUGGGUAGACUUGGAGGAUUCAUUGGACCUCCCGAUGGCAUACUCUGAGUCUUUUUCCAAUCUUGCAACAAAAACAACACUCUUUGGCAGAUUUCGUCACACCCGGCCACAUCUUCCGGGGUAGGCAGCUUCUCGGAUUGUGCCUGCUCAGCUGCUUCAUGCACUUCUAAGUCAGCAACUGAAGCAGUCAUUGCUGCCUCUUCGACUACCAUGGCUGCGGAAGGUUCGGCUCCAUUAGCGGGGACUUGUGUUUCCAUUACUGCCGGUUCUGUAGGCGGACUAACAUACUCAUGUGGAGGCGAGAAGUCAUCGGCUUCUCCUUCAUUCAUAUGAGGACUACCGAGGUCCUCAUGUCCUUCCCCACCUUCAUUCACCCCACGAUUUCGUAUUUUCAGUUGCUCUAUCUCCACCUUAAAAGAAUGCUCCAUUGAAGCCAGGGUGUUGCGGAAAUCCUCCACACACUUUUUAUUUUUUUCGAACUCUCUUUCAACUUUCAAUGACUCCUUCCGUACCAUGUCUUCCAACUGAUGCACUCUGUUGCGAAGCGAUCGAUUUGAUAUGGCAACUUUGGCCAAUUCAUCCUUUGUCCUUUGAAAGUCACGCUUCAAAGUACGUAACUCAGUGGACGCGACUGUACCCUGCAUUCAAUUAUAACGCAAGUGUUACAAUAUUUCCAAAUUAUAUUGCAACAAUACAGCAGCUUUUUUCCUAUUGUAUUAUAACGUAUAUCUUGGAAACAAAAUUAAUGCUUGCCUUAGAAGACGACGGAAGGCUAGCAGUUUCGUCAAUGUCCUCAUCUUUUUCUUCUACAGAGGCUGAAGUGCCGGUUUUUUGUUCAGCGUCAUCGCCCAACAAGUCAACAAGUUCUUCAGUGUCGUCAGCACUGUCACCCCAAGUCCAAUACGGCUGCUGCUUGUCCAUUACAGAUGGCCGGCGAAGCUGCACAUCAACCUGCAAUUUACACAUACAAUAUACAUAUUAGUAAACUAAUUAUAUUAUAUUUUCAUAUCCCUAACAUUAUCAUUAAAAACUGAACUAACCUUACGGUUCUCGAAUACUUGGCUCAUUAGCUCAUAAAAACGCGGCGAACUAUUGCUCCUCUAAUGUAGUAAACGAGGGAUGUACGCAUUAUCUUCGUGCACCACCAAAUGUAGUGCAACCAACGCUGGAAAUACCUCAUACUCCCAAAUCUGAUUUGAGGAAUAAAAGGUCAGUCGUUGUAAACAAAUGCAAUUUAACUUCAACAUCAAUGGACAUUUGCUCACCUGAAGUGCAUAGGCAAAACCUUUGAGGUGGUACUCUCUUGGUCUACCAGUUGCCGUUGUUGUUGGUUUCUUCCCAGAUUUUUUUUUUUGCAGUUUUUGUGGGCACUUUCACUCGCCGGUAAUCUGCACAAAGUGCCCUCAACAGUGACGCAUUUGUCUUCGCAUAACACACAACACCCCAUGGAUACUUCCCAAAGUCUUCAAGGUCUUCCGCCAACUUCAAAUAUCGCAUGUCAAUGUGGACAUGUUUUUCACUGCCCAACAGCACAAACACAGCAAAGUAUACGAAUCCGAGCUUCAAUACAUCGUCCACAUCAUCGCAUUUGAGGAAGGCCUUUUCUAAUUCCAACAAGUUCACAGUUUUAUCAUUGGCAAAGUACUUCCGUUUCAAUGAGCAUUUCUCAUUAGUGGGAAUCGGAAUAAAGGGAAGGUUUCCAAACCUUAGCCCUGUCACGAUGCAAAAUUGCUGCGCCGUGAAUUGGAUGACCUUAUUGCCAACAAUGAAUUUGAUCCCGUUCAGUGGGGAAACUGUCUUGGGAUCAGCUUUCCUGAGCAGCAAGCCGUGGACAAUUGGAGAAGUCCACUUGAGGUCCUCAAUCCGUAGGAGAUGACCAAAACAACUCUGUUCAAACAUUUGCAGCUGCUGUUCAGUGAAUUUCUCCUUUAUCGUAGUGAUUGCGGUCUUCGUAUGGGAUAGCGACAAUGCUUUCCCUUGGAACUUUUGUUCCUCUGCAAUCAUCAACUUCAUUUGACCAACCAUAUUUCCCUGCAUGCCAAUAUUAUAAACAAACUUUCAGUCGGUUGCAAUCUAGACAAUAGCAAGCAAUAAACAAUCACCACUUAUCAACAGCCUAUUAUAGGAUAUGAAGUGAAAAAACAAAAACAAAAAGUACAUAUCAUAAACAAAACCCCAGCUAUUUACAACUGACCUCCUAAUUUAAUGGCUCAAAGCCAAGUUUCAAGACACCCAGUACUCUACCACUCCUGCAUAAUAUAAUAUCUAAACACACAUCUCAACACACCAUAUAAUCACACCAUCUAAUCAUGAGACAGCUUCAGCUAGAAUGGGAAUGUGCGGUAGCACAAGCCUAAUUGAGAACAAUUCAACACUAACGAUACAAAUCUAUCUGACUAGAAAGAGUUUUAAAAAACAACAAGACAUCGGGAAACAAUUGAUUCACUUCAACGUAUAAUGUAAUGGAACAUCCUAUGAAUUAGUGGCAACCACAAUACUGACUCUACUAUGGCCCUCCUUUAAAUGUAAGAAAAUGAAAGAAAUUGGCACCAUCCCUUCAGUUUUUUCUUAACAAAAUAUCAAAGAUAAAUUCAUAAAUAAACCAUCAAAACUGUAUAAAAUGUUUGUAAGACAUGUACAAUUACAAAAUUAUAAGUUCUCCUCAGAAACAGAGUUCUCUAAGUAUCCAUACACAAACAAGAAAAGCAAAAGCUUAAACAGUUAGCUUAUAGCAAAAUCAAUGUCCCCAUUUCUCUAAACCACACCUGCUGGUGGUAGGUUCCCAUCUUCACUCAUUUCCCGCUUUCUUUUAAGCACACAAUGAUCAAGCACAAAACAGCAAACUUUUAAAGAACUCAUAUUACACCACAUAUGGUUCUAAAGAAAACUCAUCCAUAUCCAAUAUGCAAGCCCUAAACUUAGUAAAUAGAGUUAUAAAAAAAUAUGUCGAAUUAACAAGCAUUAUUCUCAAACAAAAAGUAUGAUAUCGUUGGGAGUUUACAAGUUCAGAAUGAUAUACACAGGUUAAUUGUCUUACACUUUAGAUAUCAUCUUCAACAAACAAAAUAGAUACCAAUUAGACUUGUAAGAAGGUUAAAUGCAAUGGUCAUAAAGACUCAUACUAAGCCACCAAAUACUAAUCAAUAACUGCUACAAAAACCAUAAUAAAACUAAAAAUACAACAGCACUAAAAUGCCAACACAACAUCACUACAUUAGCAAUACACUAGCAAAAAAACACAAUACGACAGCAAUAGCAACAGCAACACAACAGUAGUGCAAGCAUCAGUCCACAAAGAACAAACCCAUUCACUGUUUGAAACAAGGAAUCAUCAUACUAAGAUCAUUUCAGAGAAACCCCAAAACCAAUUUUGAUGAAAUCCCUAAACCAAUUUCAGAGAAACCCCUAAACCUUCAACCAAUUUCGAACAAACCCCUAAACUAAUUUCAGAGAAACCCCUAAACCUUCAACCAAUUUCGAACAAACCCCUCAACCAAUUUCAGAGAAAUGCAUAAACCCUAAACCAACUUCAGAGAAACCCUUAAACUGUAAGAAAAUGUCGAUGAACAGUACCUGUCGCUGGGAGAGGAAGAGAGAAGAGAGAGUCGGAGCUGAGCGACGAGAGAUUCAGAGCUGAGCAACCAGAGAUUCAGAGCUGAGCGACCAGAGAUUCAGAGCUGAGCGACCAGAGAUGAGAGAGUCAGAGCAAAGCCACGGGACAGUGAAGAGAAACAGAGCGGAGCCAAGAGAGAGAGCCGAGAGAGAACUUCAGCAAAACAGAGAGAAUAAAAUUUCAGCAAAAGUGAUAUGUGUGCAAUAAGGGGACAAUAAAUAUAUAUUUAUAGGUUAUAGUUCCAAAUUUUUUAAAAAAGGGUGGUAUUUUCAGUUACAAUUAUAAAAAUGGUGGCAUUUAGGGCUAUUUUCCUAAAAAUAAGUGGGCACAAAUGUAGUUUUGUGUUAUACGGGUGUCACAUUUGUCAGAUAAAGACACAAUUAUUUGUGUCUACACAAAUAAAUAAUUUUACUUUUUCUGAACAACUUGUCAAAUGAUACUUAUUAUUUACAUUUAAUUGACAUUUGACACAAUUUUUUGUGUCCAAUAUAAAUUUGUGCUUUAUGUAAAUUAAUUUGACAUAAUUAUUUGUGUUUUAUGCGAGAAGACGACGAAUAAAAUUUAUUUGUGCUCAAUUUUAAAGAUUAGGGCACCAUACAUGUUCGUGAUUUUUGCUCAAUUUUGUCUAGUGCUAACUUGAAGUUGGGAAUUGUUUGCAUAGCUAUUGUUUUCCCAACUCCUCCUUUCAUGUGUAGGACUUGCUCUACCUCCCUUUUUUGUGUUCUCAAAUAAUACUUCUCUCCCUCUUGGUACCAAUUCUUCUAGAAGACUCCCGCAUAUUUGUAGCAAAAUGCUUACUUAGUUUACCUUUAUACGCCGAAAAUUUAAUAAGUUCGGUAGUUAUCUAACACGAUAUCAACUUCUUGAAACGUUUGCAGGUUUAUGAUCUCAGACAGUGCACAAAUUUAAAACAACCUAAUUAAGAUUUGAGAGGUGUCCUUGGUUAGUCAAAUAGUGCAGCUUAAUACGUAAGGCUCCAUACAUCACAAACUAAGAUUCCUACGGAACUAACACAUAUUUGGCAUCAUUUGACAAAAAGGACAAAAAAAAAAAAAAACAAUGUGCACUGAUUAAGUAGAUGGCAUAAAAUAAGAUUACUUGUUUAACUAUGAAUUCUCUUGAAUUAAAAAAAUUGAUGGAAGUGCAGGUUAGGUUAGGUCAAUUGCGCAAGAUAUUGGGCCACCCUUUAUACCUAAGUUCGAAGCUUCUAGCAAUUAUAAGUCUCGAAAUUAUGGCUUGAUUAGUCAAUUAUACCAAAAUAGAAGACCUCGAGCUUCUACAUAUAGAGUUUUCGUACAUUUAUCCAUAUUUCACUUAAUUUAAACAAUUGUAAUAAUAUAAUGGCUUAAAAUAUGACAUGUCAAAUGGUAGAGUUGAAUUUUUAUUUUUUUUUUCUCUAAAUAUUUUAUUGCUUUCAACAUUGGCUUAGCUGCCGUUAUCUCUGUCUGUCCCUCCCAUCAUGAAGUCGUAAGAGCAGCUUCAGGAGUAGUUCAAGCCAUGUAGGACUCUGGAAUAGUAUCAACGAAAUCAGCUCUCAUCCAAAGGCAUAUGUUUCCCGCAGUCAUACAUAAGACAUUCAUCUUUAGAAGUUUAGAACAAAUCUAAUUACCUUAGUUGAUAAGCAAGAAUUAUUAUGGAUGAAGAGAAGGAGAAACAGAGAGGGAGGAGAUGGAGGGUCUGAUCACUGUGGGAGAGAGGCAGGGAGAUAACGGCAGUUAGUAAUCGUCAAUACCCUUUUUUUUUUUUAAACUAAUCUUUACCCGUUGACAUGUAAUGUUUUAAGCUGUUAUAUUAUUACAAUAGCUUAGAUUAAGUGAAAUGCAAGUAAAUACACGAAUUCUAUAGUUGAGCAAGUAAAUCAUAUCAGAAUCAAAUCAGGAUUCACGUCGAUUACUACGAAAUGCCCAUAAGAUAAGCUCAUGUUAGAGAUCCUUCCAUUUAAUAUUCUUCAUCAAUCCAUCUGGAAGUACAAUAGACAGUCGUGUUUCACGACCCUCACGGGCCAUUUGAUAGCUCCACACAACAGAAAGGUCGGCAGAUGUGCCAAUUCAAACAUUGAAAUUGGUGGACACAAUUGAGAUUGAAAUGCUGUUGUGGGUUCAUAAUGAGAAAUUGAUGUUUGAAAUUGAGGUUAAAAAUGUUUGUGGUAUUGGAAAGGUGGAAUAUAUUUCUCUGUGUUGGUGGACGUUUAUCAGACUUAUCCAAAAUGUACUUGACUUCCAAUAGAAGAUUGCCACACCAUUAUUAGUGACCCAUCGCACUGUCACCUCUAGUGCUAAAAGUUUGUUCUUCGACCAAACAGAGGACCACAAAAGAAGAAAAAAAAAGUAGUUGUGUGAAAGUGAUUUUCUUCUUAUUUUUUAUUUUACUAGUAUAUGUAAUGUGUCAAUUUGGUAACAUUAUAAGAGUUGAGCAGAUCUUAACAAAGAAAAUCCUAAGUGGAGGAUCUACAUCCCCGCUUAACUUAAAAUCUCAAACUACGUAGCUUUAGACACCAAAAAAAAUAUCAGUACAGAAAACAUAUGGGAUACAUACAUGUAAUGAUCUACGAACUACACCGUAUAUUCAGCUGGAAAUUUGACAACAGAUAAAGCUCUAAAUUCCAAAGCAAUGAAAAGAAAAAGUAGAAGCAGAGGAACCAGAUAAUGUCAUUCAGAGAUGUGAUACUGGUCCUAGAUGUCAAGCAUAUCACGUGUUCCUGCACCCAUGGUUGCAGUGUAGAGUCUGAAAUACACUGAUAGGCUGUCACAAUGUUCCAAAAGCUAAGAAAUAAUGCAGAGCCUAAGUUAGCAUAUUGGGUUUUUUUAAAUUUUUUUGGCAAACGUUGGGUUUAGAUUAACAUUAGAAACACUGUCAAAUCAAUCAAUUAUCAGAGAUUAUGGUUCCAUUUUUGACAUGGCAACCAGUCUGCUCCAGAGCAGAUUCAAAGAACCCACAACCAUGGAUGCUUGAAUCUAUACAUGGUGGAGCAAAGUGGAUGAUCAUAUCUCUCAAUGUGAGCAUCCCUGUGGCCUGAUUUGAUUCAUCAACCAAGAAGCUGAAACUGCUUUUUGUGUCUGCCAUGUUUCUCAUGGCUUGCUUCAGUGUUUCAGUUUUCUUGUUGGUGACCGGUGAGUCCAUUCUUGGCGCAAAGUUGUUUUUGAGGCGCAGAAAGCCAGCUGAGAGAAGAGCCCCAAUGUCUCUUUCAGUUGUUGGAUCAGAACCUGUUUUAUGAUCAUUCUCCAUGUGAAUGAACUCCUCCACAGUUAGACUUCUGCAGUUAUAUGAUUAAAUAUCAAAUUAAACAUGUAAUAUUACAUAUCUUAAGUUAAAAUUUAUUCUUUUCUUCCUUUAACACGCCUUAGCUCCAAUGAGUUAUCCAACCCAAGGCACCAAACAAGCCCAUGAUCUUGUCAUGUUCACGCUGUUAUUAAGAUAUAACUGGCAAGGGUCUGGACAUUUAUGUGUGCCUAUAUAUAUAUAAUUUGCAGAUCAAAUGCUACACUGAAGUGGACAUGAGAAACUAACAACUCCUUUAGAUGCAUAUCUCUUUUCGUUUUAGAAGCAUAUCUCUGUUCUGUUUUCUGUUUUUCUUUGUCAACUAGAAGAAGAGGGGAGAAGAGAACGGCGAAGUUAGGAAUUGUUCAUUAAUUAGUAGCAUAUUGGAUAAACGGCUCUUGACAUUGGAUAUUUUAAGUAGCAUAUCUCAUUGCAUAUAAAACUUUUGAGAUAAAAUUCAAUAUCUGAACUCCACAACACGGUUAAGCUGGAGAGAGAGUCGGCAAUCAGUUUGAAUUUGGGGAGUUGGGGACCUCCUCUCUCCUCCUUGUCUCUCUUUUAUUUAAAAAACAAUAGCGAAAAAUAAAACGAAAAAUAUAUAUUACAAAACAAAACAUAGAAGGGAGAAUGAAAAAAUGGAUGUAACUUACUUUAUAUUGCGAGGUAGAUUCUCUAGAAGGAGGUAGAUAUCGCAUUUCCUUAUGCUACCAAUGACCCUCUUACUUUUCCUAUCUGUGACAGCAACUGCACCAUUUUGGCUUUUCCAUAGAACAUGAAGAGCUUCUGUCAUGCUUUGGUCUCCAUAUACAUGUAAAACAUGCUCUUCAUUACCAAACCUGCAUUGAAACAUCCGUAGAGAUGCAAUUCCAAACUAAAUGAGAACUUACCAUCCAAUUGUAAACUAUUCUUAUAGCUUGAUUUAUCCCCCCAAAAAAAAAAAGAUGAAGAAAAGAAAAGAAGAACAGUUUAUGGGUUGACAUACCGGAACUCUGAUAAAGGCUUGUCAGCAAUGCUAUCAAACCAGUCUAAGCCACUUGAUUGAAGCAGCAGAAGAAGUACUCCAUGCUAUCAACGCAUAAUAGAUAAUCAAGAACUUAAGCUUAGUGUGGCCUUUUGCUAAUGGCCAUAUUUGCUUCUCAAAAGUACCAUUUAUGAAGUAGAAUUUAGAGAUAAAUAUACCUGUGAAAUAAAACCAAUGAGCUUAGAACUGGUUCUCUCUAUGACAGGCACAACUUGCAGCCGAUGCUUUGAAAGUAGCAGCAGAACAUGGAAGAGUGUCUCAUCCAAGUGUACAGGGAAAUAUGAAUUCCAUAGAAACGACUUAGCCAGCUCGCCAAUCUAUCAGAAUUAAACAGAAGUGCUCAUAACGAAAUAAAAAUUUAACAAUCUGCAUUAAAGUAAUACUUCAAGCUUCUAAAAUACAACAAGGGGAUUGAAUUAUAAGUUGGAACUUAUAACAUGGUUGGCAUUUUAAUAACAUAGCCAAGGAAAUUGCAACACAAAUAUCUCUGCAUGUCAUCAACAAAUAUCUCUGCAUGUGUGUCAAAAUGCUUGGCAGGUUAUACUUUAGAGAUUCGAAAACCAUGGCAUCAACAUUGCUAAACAUAAAACUUUUCAGUUGAAAGAAGAAAAAAAAAGGCUAAUAUAAUGAAGUGAAGAUGUUAAGUGUUAUGGACUUGUAUUUCUCUAAAUGGACUUUUUGGCAUACAUUGAAUUGUUCUAUCUUCUAUGUCUACUUACCAUAUUAAAUAAAAUAAAAAAUAACUAAAAGGGCAAAAAAUAUAAAAUAAAAACCUUGGUUUGGCCAAUGUGAGGAUGCUGUUCAAGCAUGUCAAAAACACCAUAGUUGCCAAUUUCUUCAGCUCUAGUUUUUCUUCUGCGAUUCCCACAUUCCUCGAAAAUUUUCAUGAGAAGCAUUUGUUAUAUAUGUAAUUGUGUAAAUAACACUACACAAAUGUUCAUCUGGGGUAGCUUUUAAAACGUUAAAAUCUACAAAAAUGAACAUCCUUACCUCAAAAAACCAAAGAACAAUACUUGCAAAAUCAAUGAAACCGAUAUAAGGAUCCGAAAAGCUUCCUUUGGUAUUGUCAGUAAUUGGUGCACCACACACAUUCUUCUCGUGCAUCAAAUGAAUGGCAUCUCUUACACUAUCCCCAGUUUUCAAUUCCAAAACUUUCCAUUGCAUCCAUUUUAUGACAGAAAAAAUUAAAAAACAUUAUUUUCAUAAUGGGAUUUUAAGGUAACCAAAUUCAAAAAACAAACCAAAAACAAAGAUAAUGGAACAUUGGAAAUUAUAUGAUGCUUACCGGGUGAGUUUUUUAUGCCAGGGAUAGAACUGAUGAGGAUGUUAUCAAGAAAGAGUUGGAGGGCAGAGCCUGAAUCAAUUUCUUGGUUGUUUUCUUGAGUUUUAAGGUUGGAAACAAGGCUCUCUUUCUUCUGUGCCACUCCACCUUCUGAGUUUUUCAUUACAUCCUUUAUUUGCUGCAUCUUCUUUCUUUUGUCCGAGUUAGAAGUUAAUGAUUGGAUGUUAAACUGUUUUUGAGGUCUUUCUGUCUUCCUUGUAUUUGCGUGAUCUGUUUUUGAGUUCCCCCUGCCCCAAAGACAGAUGUCAAGAAUGCAAACCUUCCAAAUGUUAGUUUGUAUUGCCAUGUGGCGUUCUAAAGACUCAGUUUUGUGGUACGAUUUUCUCCCUUCAAUUUUCAUAUUUUCUAUUUAUUUUUCUCUUUUUUUAUACAAGCGAUAUUUAGGGAGCGGGAAUCGAACCUAAAACCUCGGACGCAGGGAUAAAUGCUCUUAACCACUUGAGCUACAAACCCUUGUUUUUUUUUUUUUUUUUUUUUCUGUUGUGUGGCUGGUAACUUCCUUUUUUCAUAUAUACCUGUACACAUUGUUAAACAGAAGGGUCUUUUCUUUCCUGAUCCGAAAUAAGCCAAUAAAUUAUAGAUUGGGAGAUUUAUUUAAGAGUAAUGCUACAUAUGCUAAAAGAAACUCCAAGAUUUGUGUCCAAUUAAUAUGAUAGAAUUCAUUUCCACACUACCAAGGUAGUGUAAUGUGGCCUGCCAGAUCAUUUGGCAACCAAAAUUUCAAAAAAUUUUCCUAACAAUACAUGAAUAAAAGGAGUGUUAAAACUUGAAUUAUCAUAUUGCAAUAUGAAAAUGAGGGAUGGGAUAUUAAAAGGAUGACAGCUUUAUAAUAGAAAAGGGUUUCAACUGUACCUUUGGAACUUGGAAUUAUUACUACAAAAGGCAUAGCCUACUGAUAACUAUAUAAUAUGAAAAAACACUGCUAGAAUUUGGAAUUCUCUGAUUCCUGUUCUCUGUUCUUCUCCAUUGCUAUAGGCUGCUGGUGGCUUCUCUUUGAACCAACAUUAUCAGAGACGAACACGUCCACAAGUUAAAUAAAAUGCUUUUUCUUUUUCUGAGAUACAACUAUGUUUCAAACAUUAUUCAUAAUCAAUAUUGAUACAGAAAGUUCAUAGGUUCUUAUGGAUAUAUCACCUCCACGAAGGAUGAAAGCAGCCGGCGGCGGGUCAGCUGCUGUAGCUUAUUUUUGUACAUCUCGUGACUCUAGAACUCUUAUAAGCUUAUAAACUCCAUUUUUACAAGUACUGAAGGAUUUUUCUAGUUUAAAAGGCAAAAUGCUGCAGAAGCUAUACUCCUCAGCUGCCAAAUGCACUUGAGAUGUUAAGAUCCAAACGUUUGCAAGUCUCUUUCCCACCACCAUUUUUCAACUGUGCUUGAAAAGUACUUGAGAUGUUGAGAUCCAUCAUAUAACCAUGCCAUCUUGUAUUGUUGCCUUCUCCAGAAUAAUUGUGAUUCCCUCACGAAUGUAAAAUCCCUCUUCUGGCCUAUCUGCUUCUCGAACCCCCUACAGAACCAGAGAAUAUAGACGACCAUAAGAUUGAAUAUGAUGGUAUAUAUUUCACUCAAUAAAAAGUUGGCCCAGUCAAGUUCGGUUAAAAGGUAAAACGAAAAUAUCAAUGUAUCCUAAAAAAAAUGAGACUAGACCAUGGGAAGCCAUGCUUACAUCUUUGUUCACGAUCACUGCGUCCUUCCCUAUCUUUGCAUUCUUAUCAAUUAUACAAUUCCUUCAAGGAAGAAUCAUAAAGACAUAAUUAGAAACCUCGGCGUUCUACAUUCCAUGUAAAGCUAAGAAAUGUUUCUCAAUUUGUGAGUCUAAUUACCUAAUCUUUGUAUUCCUUCCAAUACCAACUGGGACCUUCCCCUCCGCAAGCAGAGAUGCAAUUUCAGUUUCAGUUUGGUAAUAGUCUGCACCCAUCAUUAUAGCAUCCUGUAGCAAGAGGUAGCAACUUAAUAAACAUAUUCAUAAGAGUGAAAGUAAACAAACCGGUCCAGUUUUCAACUUCCGUCUUUGAAAACCAUGAAAAUUCACCUUCAGCUCAACCCCAUAAUCCAAUCGUGAACGUUCACCUACAAUUGAAUGCUGGACACUACAUUCUCGCAAGAAACAUCCAUGUGAUAUUAUUGCAUCCACAAUCUGCAAUACAAAAAUAAUGCAUGAGAAGCAGAUCGCCUCAAUGAAGUUUCCAAUAUGAGCCUAAGUACAUUAGCAUACCCGGCACUUGUCAAUCUUGGUUGGUGGUAAGAAUCGAGGAGAGGUGAAGAUAGGUGUCUUUGGGUCAUAGAACUGCAAAAAGAGAAGGUAAUUUGCCCGGACAUUAAUCACACAUCGGGGAAAGAAAAUGAUGUUGCUCUUUGUUUCACAGAAUUGAUAUUAAGACAUUAUUUAAGAACUCUACACAAUUAUAGGGAUUCAUCAUAUGUUCUCCGUGUUUGCAUGUUAUAGUCUAGAAUAACAGGGUGCCCCAGAAAAUUGUAUGGAAAGGCACGUUUGUUCUUUUUUCAUUUUCCUUUUUGUUUUUGUUUUUGUUUUUUUGGAGGGUGACGUGAACCUUUUGUGUAUGACAUGUCUAAAUGUUUGACGUCCUCAAGGAAAUGAACUGAAGGGAUGGAAUUAUGAAAUGUUGCCUCUAUAAAAACAAUGAAAUCUACCUCUUCAGUGAGGGCCAAGUUAGCAUCAUAGAAAGACUUUAUAGUUCCAAUGUCCUCCCAGUAUUCUCUGAACAUAUAUGCCUGUAAAAGCAAAGGCAAAUUAUAAGACAUUUUCUUCAAUAUUUGAGUAUAAACAGAUAAUCGGUAAGAAGAAAAUAUGAAGAAUCAUGAAUUGUUCAUGCAAAUGGCUCAAAUUUUAUGGUCUUUCAGUUGAGGCUUCACUCUUCUGUUUCCUUCAAACCUUUAUGGAUAGGGAAAAAUUCAUGGAUGAAGACACUUCAACUGUAAUGGUUAUCUUACUUGAACUUUGUGCUCUCUCACUGCUGCAGGAAUGAUUUCAGACCCGAAGUCGUUUGAUGUUGGAUAUCGCCACCUCAGAAGAUUUAGCAAAAUUUCUGUCUUAAAUACAUAAACACCCAUUGAUGCAACAUAUGGGGAUUUCAUGGCAUCUUGUGGGGACAAUCCCAGAAGCGUGGUAUCUGUUUGCUGCAGAAUGUCAACCAAGAAGGGUAAAACUUAUGUCUGAGAUAUAUUAUUCAUUAAUGCAGUCAUGUAAGUCUAAAUACAUGGGUAAUGUUAAGACACACGGAAUUUAAAUAAGAUGAACUUGGAAAAUAGUGUAAAAGAGUAAUGGAGAAAAGCAUCAGUCUCUAGUCGUGGAGAAAACUCAAUGCGUGGGAGAGGUGUUAGAAUAUAAAACAAUGGUUGACUCACAUCCUAAUCGCUUAAGAUUUUGCGAAUUAUGGUAAACCAACAAAUUUUAUCGACAGCCAAUGAAAGAGAAAAAACAAAAACAAAAAAAAAAACAAAACAAUAGUUACAUUCAAAGUCUUGUAAAGCCAAAAGGAGAAAAAAAAAACAGACCUGUCACCCACUGCGGCACAUGAAAUUGUAAUAUCAGCAUUUCUAUCAACGUGACUCUGCAUAUCAUAGAAAAUGUGUAAGAAAAAUUUAACAACAAACAAGUCCUAUAUGAAGGGAAAUUAUUAUACCUGCACAAAGUCCGUAUAAUCCAUUCGGUAAAGAUGAUCGCCACACAAAAUCAGUACAUUCUCAACAUCCCUGUUUUUGGCAUCCUGCAAGAAAUAAUGCAGUACAUUGUACCCGAAAUCAAGUUAUGCAAACCAAAGAACAACAUACAGACCCAUUAUUACUAUCAGUUCCCCCCUUCUUUAAUUUUAAAACAAUACCAUUGUUGCAAACUUCUUUACCCACCUCAAAUACCCAUAUAAAUUGCCUCACAGCAUCUGCUGUUCCUUGGAACCAAUUCAUUCCUGCUUCCCCAGGCGUUUGAGUGGCUGCCAGAACCUGCACUUGAAGUGUGCUUUGAGUCACAAAAUAAUCAAGGAACUUGAAAAAGAAAUAACACAUUGGACCAGAUGUAUUUUUUUUUAAUGAUUAAAUCCUUUUAAAUAUAAUACCUCUUCUUCUUUCUUAUAUAGCGAGAACUACUUCAUUUAACAUUAAUUACAACUAAAGGUUCCCUAUCAGACUAACUUUCAGUUUGAAAACUGAUUUUUGCAGCAUCUUUACAUAAUUAUCAGCCUACAACUAAUUUAAUAACAGACCAAUCACAAAAUGAUACAGGUAUUAAUCUGCAUUAAAGGAUUCAUUUACCUCUACAAAUCCUUCCCCAAAGUUGAUACCAUUUCCAAAAUAGGUGCGAGCAAUGUGACGAUUGAGAGAAGCAGAAUUAAACUGCGUCAGUACAAAAAUCUUGUUUAUAUUGCUGUUGAUGCAAUUGCUCAUUGGAAUGUCUAUAAGACGGUAGCAUCCUCCAACUGGGACCUGCAAUCAUACCAAAUCAAUACAUAAUACAACUUCAAUUGCGAUAUUGAAUCACAAGCUUUGAUGAAUCAUGUGCGCUUAUGGUUAUUAAUGGAGGAUCAUACAACCAAAUUUUUCUAAAACAAAUCAGCAAAAUCCAAUAUGUUUACACCAUAGUGAACCGAGCAGACCCAGCAUCAAAGCGACUAGCACCAAGGCAGCCACGCCUUCUCCCCUGCCGAAGGAAGACACACUUCUGAGGUGCCAGACACCUGCCGAAGCUCCCAACUGCCAAAUCUAAUCUCCAGGACACGUAUCGCCACCACGACGACUUGCACAAAGUCCCACAUUGGAACUUUGUGCAAACCUCCUACUCGCACCUCCCUAUAAAUAGGGAACAGUACCCAAGUAAAAAGGGUAACUAUUCUCCCACUUUUACUGUUACUCUGCCAGAAUUACUACUUGUAACUGACUUAGGCAUCGGAGAGCCUUCGGCCGACACCACACCGGUGUCCGAAGCUUAACGAUUGCUUCUCCCACUUUGUCUUCUGCAGGUCUCCCAUCAACCUAUAUUUCACCAAGGGCCUCGGCUCUCUUCCCUGCUGAAGACCCCGCAUACCUAAUCACUAAGUUGGACUCACUAUUGGCCGGGCCAUUUUGAGCAUCAACAGUUUGGCGCCGUCUGUGGGAAGUCGACACUUGAAUCCCCUCUUUCUCUAUCAGCCCAGCUGGCUCCUUCACCCAUCAGGCCCCGUCGCCUCUUCUUCACCCCACACUCUGCUAUGCCGACCGAGUAUAGCCGCGAUACCCAGCAUCAUACCCCCCGCGAUGGUACUUCUAGAAGGAAAUCUUCGGAAGAUGCCACUCUCCAGGCAGAAGUGGAGCGCCUCCGCCACAGUGUCACUAAAAUGUCGGAAAAAUACGAGCACCUUCAUUGCAGGAAUGUUGAGCUAGAACAUGACUAUCGUGCUUUAAAGUGGAACUGGGAAAGGACUCACACCCAGGAUGCCUAGCAAGACCUCACCCAGAACGUUGGGCAUACUCAGCCGAACCAGCCAGUACAUUCCAGCCACAGUGCCCCGGCCCAAACUAGGCUUCGCAAGGGUAAAGACCACCUUCAUCCAGAGCUAACCCAGUCGCGACUCCUUUGCGUUCCCCCACCGAAGGACCGGCCCCAUGAACCAGUCAGGAUCUACCAAGAUUGCAGGGAUCGCAUCUCGGACCGACAACCAGGACCGGUCCCUGUCCCUGUCAACCUCGAAGACCCACGGGCGACACACCUGGGCCCUUCGCCAGGGCCCGUCCGCAUACCAGACGAGGAACGUGUCGGGGACUCGGAUAGUUGGGAAUUCUAUAAUUCAGAGACCUGGCCAAAUUACCACACCGAGGCGCUGGAAAAUUGGGAACAAUCCCCAGUCCCUGUCUGCCCCGCCCCCAGGCCUUUAGCACCUGAAACUCUUCCUCAUGCCGACCCGGCCAUGAGGCUUCUCUUUGAAAAGGUUCGGCGUCUGGAGAGCGAACAGCAUCGCAGCCAUCAACCCCUCUGGGCAAAACCACGACCGGGGCCCUUUACUGAACAUAUCCUCCACUACCACCAGGAGAAAGAUAUCCAGCCCCUCCGCAUCGCUUUCUACACUGGCACGGAGGACCCUCUCACCCACAUCCACUCCUUCCAGUCUGCCCUUGGGUGCAAAGGCCUCACUGAUGAAGGCAUGUGCCUCCUUUUCCCUUCCACCCUCAGCGGCGCGGCCCUAAACUGGUUCUACAGACUCCACCCCCGCACCAUCAACUCAUUUGAUAGUCUCAAGCAGACGUUCCUGGAUCAUUUUAUGAUCCAAACUGAUCACCUAUACUCUGCCGACGACUUAUAUAUGCUUCGGCAGGCUGAGGAUGAACCCCUUCGGGAAUAUGCAGCUCGGUUUAGUCACGAAUACUCCCGCUGCCCGGACACUGACGACCGCGCUACCUUCGGCGCUUUUAAGAGCGGCCUCCGCGAGUCCAACUUCCACUACCUGGUUCAUAGCAACAGUUGGAACACAUAUACAGAGCUAAUGAAACAGGCAGCGAUCCAUGCUAAGGCUGAAUACUUCAAUUCCAAGCGUGGCCCAGCCAACCUGAUGCGCAACGCUUUCGCUGAUCCUCCACCUGCUUUAGCACCCGCUUCAGCCCCACCUCAGCAUCCUACCCCUACCCCAACAACAUAUAAUUAUUUUAAUAAUUAAUUUUAAUUAUAAAUAAAUAAAAUUAUAAUAUUUAGUUUUAAUUAAAGAUUACUAAAACUAUCUUAUCUCUUCUGUUCCUUUUCUUUUUCUUUUAUUUCUUCCUAUUUUCUUCUUCCUUCCCAAGUUCCUAGGCCAUCCCUGUUUUUUAUUUUUAUUUUUACCUUUCUUCCUCUCUUCUUCUUCCUUCCUUCUUAAUCAACUGUCUAGAUUGAAAACUGUAACCUUUACUGAAAGAGAGAGUGGUCAAGGGUUUUAGGUGAGAAAAAGCGCAGAGACAGAGAGAGACAGAGAGAAAGGGACAGCGAGACAGAGACAGAGGCUGAAAAUUCAAUACCAACUAUUUAUUCCAUAAGUUCAACUUGAUGUCUUCUAUGUCAUUUCCCGGAAGAAUCCUUUAAUGGGUACCAAUUAGUUUUUAGAAUUUUUUUCAAACCACUUCAAGACUAUGAAUUCAUGACUUCCUUCUCUCAGUCUCAUACAAGAAAGCCCACAUCUCAGUUAAUGGUGUCUCCUUUUGCAGUUGUCCUGAUCAUGGUGGAUGAUUUCUUGGAUCAAUCGGGUUUGAAAGUGGUUGUUGAAUUUAGGUUCAAUUGGGUUGUGGUUCCAUUGGGUUUGAAUUGGUGGUGGUUGAUUCGAGUGACUGGGUUUGAAUUUUUGGUAGUUGGUUCAGUGACUGGGUUUGACGAUGGUCUGUGGUGAUUCUGGUGGUUUGGCUGGGUCUAUGGUGGUUAUAGUUCUAGGUGAAAAAGAAGAAGCUGGUUAUUGUCAGACUCGCGUUCUCUGUUUAGCGAAAUCGCUAUUUUGCGAACCAUGUUUGAGGCUCACUAAAUUGGAAGAGCGAGUGAGGCUUUUUGUUUACUGUUGUACUAUACAAUCCCAUUUAAUUUAGUCCCCCUCCUACCAAACAUGAUUUUCAGGGGCCGUUUGGUACACCGGAUUAUUAUGGAUUGGACUAAAUCAUAGGACUGUCUUGGAUUAGCUCGGAUUAGCUUAAGCUGGUUUAAGUAUUGACCUACCUUUGGUGCUGUGUCGGACUAAGAAGCUGGAUUGUAAAAAUAGUGAAGACCUAUGUUUGGUGCUGUAUCGGAUUAAAAUAAUUAUUUAAAUAUUUAAAAUUCAUUUGGGAUUUUGACCUAAAACUAAGUAAAUGCUACAAAGAAACCAACGAAAAAUGUAUAAUUUAUUAAAUAAAAAAAUUAUAAUAUUUUUAAAAGCUAAAACUAUCUUUAUCUCAUGUCUUUCUUCUUUUUUCUUCCUUUUUCCCCCUUUUUCUUUUUCUUUUUCCUUCCCAGGCCCACUUCUUAUUUCUUUUUUCUCUCUUCCUCCCGAUCUCACUCUCUGGUUCUCUCUUUUUUUCUCCAAUAUUGAUACAAUGAUAUCCUCCUCCUUCUCUCUCCUUUUCUAUCUCCCUAUCCCAACCUUUCUCUGCAUCCUCAUCAUUUUCUCUCUCUUAUUCCCCUUUGAAGUCACCGAUUUUCAUCUCCUUUAAAGUCACAAAUCUCCAUCUGAUUUCAUUGAGCCAUGGUCGAUGGUUGAUGAUUUUUCAUAGGGUUCAAUUGGGUUUGACAGUGGUGGUUGAAUUUGGGUUGAAUUUGGUUUUGGUUCCACUGGAUUUGAAUUGGUAGUGGUUGAUUUGAGUGGGUGGUUUUGAAUUGGUGGUGGUUGAUUCAAGUGGCUGGGCUUGAAUUAGUGAUAGAUGGUUUGAGUGACUGGGUUUGACGACUGUCUGUGGUGAUUUUGGUGGUUCAGCUAGGGAUAUGGUGGUGACAAUUCUAGGUGAAGAAGAAGAAGAAGAAGUUGGUUAUUGUCGGACUCGCUUGCUCUGUUUAGCAAGCUCGCUAUUUUGCGAGCCAUGUUUCAAGCUCGUUAUAUUGAACGAAUGGGCGAGGCAAAUUUGUUACUGUUAGACUAUUUAAUCUCAUUUACGUUAGUCCUCCUCUUACCAAACAUGGGUUUUCAAGUGCUAUUUAACCUAAUUCAAUAUAGUGAUGGGUACCAAACAUGCCUCAAAGUGCUAUUUAAUACUGUCCAGGGCAGUCCAGCCUACUAAACAUGCCUGAAGUCUCAAUAAUUUCUCAUCCUAUUUAUAUAUAUGUUCCCCUUGUUAAGUGCCUCUCCUUCUUUCGUCACCAAGCCUUUUGGAACCUACGUACACACGUUUAUGCUCAUCACUUGUCAGAUUAAAUUAUCAGACACGAUUUUAGAAUUAUUAUUAUUUUACCAAUUGAAUAAAGCUAAAAAAUUAGACAAACUUGCAAGAUAUAUAUAUUUUUAAAUCCCUAGUUGAUUGAGAAAGUCUUCUCAUGGAGAUAUUUUUAUGUUCGAAUGCAGCAUCCUGCCGUGUGGUGUAACUAAUGAGUUAUAUAUAACUGGGUGUAUGAAGAGUUUAUGCCUAAUAACGACUCAAUGAUUGAUUAAAAAAAAUCCAAACCUCAGAGAUCCACAUGAGAGCAUAAGAAGAGUGAACAAAGUGGAGAGAAUUGUCGGGGAAGAGCCUGCCAUAGAAAGAGCCAGGCAUUCCUGCAAUGAAACAUGGCCCAAGCUUCUUUUCAGGUUCUUCAUCAAGUUUCUUAUAGAAGCCUGGCAAUGACCUGAACACCGUGUUGAAAUCGUUUCGGGGAAGAUCAUUCAAGAAGGCUUGGAGUGAUGGAGGUGGGCGGUUGAGCUUUUGGAAAGUGUUGCGGAUGUUGUCUAUGAUAUCUGAUACCACCAAAAGGGUGUUGGGUCCUGAAGAGCAUCCCAAGUCCGCUAUUUUCAAACACUCUGGGAAGAGAGUGCAACACAGCUCCUCUAU
rnacentral:lncRNA from 1 species